rnacentral:lncRNA from 1 species
CUCCAUAUUCCCCAAAGACUAUGAGAUUGACAAGGAUGACUUGAUCCGGCAAUGGAUUGCUUUAGGCUUCAUUUCAUCGCAUGAAACAUGGACUUCGAUGGAAGAUAUUGGGAAUGAGUACCUUAACGAUCUAUUAUGGAUGUCUUUUCUUCAAGAUGUGUGGGAAUAUUAUAGAAAGGGUACCACCUGCCGUAUGCAUGAUUUAGUGCACGACCUCGCACAAUCUGUAGCAAGAGAAGAAGUUGCUGUUAUAGGUGCAGAAGAGUCAACGAGGAUCCCGGAAAGUUGCCGCUAUGUCUCGAUAUACAGUCGUUUCACGCCACAGCUGGUUUCAAGUACCGUAAUGCAGAGGUUGCGAGCUCUUCAAUUUAGGGAAUCUGGUUCACCUACUAUGAAUUUUUAUAGCGAGGCAAAAUGGUUACGCCUGUUGGAUUUACAUGAUUCCAAAAUUUCUAUGUUGCCAAGCUCAAUCAGUAAGUUGAAGCUCCUAAGAUACCUCAACCUUUCGGAGAACAGUAUACAAGAAUUGCCUGAAUCAAUUACCAGCCUCUGCAACUUGCAAACCUUGAAUCUUUCAGGCUGCCAAAAGAUCCGUACAUUACCCAAAUUUCUAGGAAGGCUUACGAAUUUGCGGAAUUUAGAUUUAAGCGACUGCAGUUCUCUGACAAUACCUGACUCCAUUAGCAACCUUCAGAAUUUGUACGCACUAAAUUUGAGUUCGUGCGAAAAUGUGAUAUCACUUGAACCUAUAUGUCACCUCAAAAACCUUCAUUACCUAAACCUAUCAGAUCUAAUGUUUAUGGAGACUUUACCAAAAUCCAUUGAGAGCCUUCAAAACUUGCGUACUCUGAAUCUUUCUAACUGCAUUUCUCUGCUAUCAUUACCCUCAUCAUUAUGUGAUCUCAAAAACCUGCAUGACUUAAACCUAUCACGUCUAAAAUCUUUGGUGACAUUACCUGAAUCCAUUGGAAGCCUUCAAAACUUGCGUAUUCUGAACGUUUCUGAAUGCUCUUCUCUAGAAUCAUUACCCUUAUCGUCAAGUGAUCUUCAGCAUUUAGAGAAACUCGACAUCAGGGGUUGUAAAAAAUUAUGUGAGCUGCCCAAAAUGAUCCAAAAGCUGACCAAACUUAGGGUCUUGUUAAACAACGAGUGCUCAGAAUUGAAGGGCAUGCCCCGAGGGAUCAGCAAGUUAGUUAGCUUGCAGGAAUUGUCUGUUUUUGUGGUCGGCAAGCAAGACCGCGUCGAACAUUGUGCCAGCAUCUCUGAGCUCGAGCACCUUAAGCUUGUCGGCGAGCUGGAGAUCAAGGGUCUUGAAAAUGUGACGAGUCCGGUUGACGCCAAGGCUGCAAAUUUGAUAGAGAAGAACCUGCGGUCUUUGAAGUUGAAAUGGAACGUUUUAAGUGCGGAAGAAGGCAUGGACAGUACUGUACUACCGGCGGAAGAGAUCGAAACCGUGCUAGAAAAUCUUCAACCACAUCAGAAGCUAGAGGAAUUGGAAAUAGAAGGCUACGGAGGCGGGAAGUUUCCUAGCUGGAUGAUGAAUAGGAUUGGCUCGUGCCUCCCAAAUCUCGUUAAAAUCAAACUUGAGAAUAUGCCCGGGUGCAGCUCACUCCCGCCGCUGGGGCAACUCCCUUUUCUUAAAGCACUAACUAUACGAAAUAUGCCCGCGGUAACAAAUUUGGGCGUAGAUAAGUUCCCUGCGCUGAUGAGACUUAACUUGUCCUCCAUGCCGGUGCUGCGAGAAUGGGUGACUGUGUUGACGGUGGAUGACGAAGAAGGCAGGCGAGAGCGAGUUCCCAUUUUUCCGUGUCUCACUCAAUUGUACCUUAAAGAAUGCCCUAAAUUGAGGCCGGAGCCUUGCCUCCCGCCAUCGGUUUUGCAUAUGGGCAUCUCUAGAACAAGCAGCGAGAACCUAUCGUUGAUUUUCGAACGCGCGAUGCCACUUGGUGAUGGUGAUGGUGAUGGUGAUGGUGAUGGUGAUGCCGCCGUUUCACCCCAACCGCCACCGAAUAAGGGGCUGCGGAGUCUACAAAUAGGAGGAUGUCAGCAGCUAACUUGUUUGCCCGAGAGCUUGCGGAGUCUCACGUCUCUCCAGCGGCUGAUAAUAUCUGAUUGUGAAGAUCUUGAGAGAAUUGAAGAUUGGUUUGGGGAGCUCUCCGACCUGCGGUCCUUGAUCAUCCAGGGGUGCAGCAGUCUCCGUUACUUGCCUGCCCACAAGAUGACCGCACUUAAGAGGUUACAUAUUGAUGGUUACCCGCUGUUGUUCGAUGCAGAUGGAAGGUAAUUAAUUUGCAACUCUGGCUACUCUUUAUUUAGCUGGCUAGCACCUUAAUAUUCUAUCGUCGCUAGCAUAUAAACCUCUCUUCUUCUUCUUCCUUUUUUUUUUUUCUAAAUAUUCGGAUGGAAAACUUUCAAUUAGCCCCACCGCACGUGAUUCGGAGCAUUUUCAUUUGCUAUGAAAUAUUUCAUUUUGCUAUUUUAAUUUAUAGUUGUGUUUUUAUUUUCUUGCAAAAAUCUUCUACAAAAAAGAAAAAAAAAAAUUAAAGUGCUAAAAUAUAUGAAUUAUAAGACAGUCAAGUAAUUUAUUUUACAAACCACAUAGGGACUAUGUGAAAUAAAUAAAUAAAUAAAUAAAUAAAUAAAUAAAUAUAUAUAUAUUAUAGUAUUUUAUGAUUUAUAAAUUUUAGCACUUUAAAUAGUUUUACUUUAAAAUCUUGUGGUUAUUCCUUUUCUUUGUAUCAUCGUAAGAAUUUGCCGUCAAGUAAAUGUAUUAAAGUGCUAAAAUUUAUAAAUCAUGGGAUAGUAAAGUGAUACAUUUUAUGAAACAAAAGGUAGCCGCCUGUAUCUAUAUAUAUUUUUUCACAUAGCACUCUAUGGUUUAUAAACUAUAUUCCUUUACUACUCUAUAAUUCAAAAUUUCUAGCACUUCAAUAUUCUUUGGUAGUAGGUCCUUACGGUAAAAUAAAGACGCAAUAAUAAAGUAGCAANGGUUUUCUGGAAAAAAUUUCAAGUGGUCUCUUGCAUGUACAUAGACUAAUUAAUGAAAUUUUAACCUUUUCUUAAUUUGUAGCGAUUUGAGAUGCUAAAAAAUUUCUACUUGAACGAUAUAUAGUAUUUACAAAGUAACUAUUUUCGGUCAUAUUGUUGAUAUACUAUUCGAGUCCUAGGAUAUUUUUUUUUACAAAUUGAAAUCAGGUAUGUUAUAUAUCAUACGUUAUUAGAAAGUCUAAGCAAAAUAUACAACACAUAUAUACUGCACGAGUGUCGAAUAAAAAAGUAACCUUUUUGUGUUGUUGUGGUGUAGAAAAUACCCGUACAAGGAACAAGCGAGCAGCUCGUCACAUGUGGAAGAGAGCUCACCGAAGGAGGAGGAGGAGAAGAAGAUUGGUUAGCGAGGAGAGCAUAAGUAUAUGUAUCUCUUAUUUGGAGUUAAAAGAUAUUAGAUAUUAGAUAAAUUAUACUGCACUUUGAAAGCGGCCAAUUGGGCUUUACGAAUUUCGAUUUUAAUUUGAUUUUGAUAUAAGAAAUUUUCUUUGAAAGAUUUGUUAGAUCCUUUUAGAAUUUAGUCUCUUCCGUUAAACAAAGUACAGAAUGUUUCAUAAAAUAAAAAAAAAUUUUAUCAAAUUUUAAAAUAUUUUAUCAAAAAACAUUAAGUAUCCUUUCGAAUUCUCUAAGGAACAUAAUAAACACUGCGGAAAGUUAGAGAGUAGAAUUAAAUUUUUAAAGUUCAGUUAUUUAUCUCAAAGCGUAGUGUAGCUCACGUAAGAAUCAUUAUCUUUUAGCUUAUUUGGUGAUCAGUAUUCCCCUUUGAGAAGAGUUUUUUUUUCCCCUUUGUUUUGCCAAAAAUAAACAAAUUUUAUAUAUCUACAUGCAAUGGUGAGAGUUUUUAUUCAUGGACUUGGGGCCUUCUCUUUCAGGUUUGUGCUAUUUAGCUUUCCGGACAAGAAUUGUAGUGUGCUGUUGUCGGAUUAAUAUAUAUUUGUCUUUUCGUGAUAUAAAUUGAGUUUCUGAAUGUACUAUUUUAUAAUUUGGUUUGAUUGUUGGUAAUUUUAUGGUGUUCUAUGUAUAUGUUAUGGGCUUGAAAAAGGUUGUUUGGUUUGAAUAAACAAAAUGUUGCUACUUUUUUUAAUACGGAUAUUAGAGGGUACAUUAAUUUUUAAGUAAAUCUGACGUAGAGUUUAUUACUAGCUAGUAUAUAUGCAUUGUGUUACGGAAUUGUUUAAAAUCAUCAGAUGCUGUUUUUGGCAUGCAAGUUGGACCUACUAUAUAUGUAUGUACCGCAGUUGAGAGGGUUAAUUUCCAUAUAUGUUUACUUUAAUUUAUCUUUUCUUUUAUUUGAUUAGAUCCGAAUUAAGCCAAUAAAUUUUAAAGUAUUAAAAGUUUUAUUAUUUUGCUUUCUGCAAGAUUUUUAGUUUUUAAAUUCCACAAAUCUGAAUCGAUUUAUUAAUAAAAUCAAACUGAAUCAAUAGAAGUGAGUUGCUUUUUCAGUUUGGUUUUUACCAAACAUGUGGUUUAAAUGAAAAUACAGAUAUGUAUUGCUGCAUUAUUUAAUUUGUUUGAGUUAAGUGAUCUCACUGCUCGUGCAAUAUCAAAUUUAGAUUAAUUAUUUAUUUUAAUAAAUUUAUAGCUUCAUAAAUUUAUAAAAUAUAGUAAUUAAUUAAACAUGUAAAGAUAAACAAUACAUUUAAAUUUUAAAGCUAAAGAGAUAUUUGACUCAAAUCAAAUAAAUUAUAAAUUAUAUAGCAACAUUAAAACUCUUUUAAAGAUUAGAUAGUAAAAUUAAAAUAAGUGAUAGUUGUGGUAAGUUAUAUAAAGUUCUUAUUUUUUUAUUCAAGUAAUCCAGAAAAUUAAAAGAGGUAUUUACUUCGAAAUAAGUUAAAUUAUUUUUUAUGGACAAGUAUUUUUCGAGACCUUAACAUCUGGGACCAACCGUAAAAAUAAGGAAAAUUGCAUGAAAUUAAUUAACCAAAAUUUUAUUUUAUAGGAAAAAAAGGAUAAAAUUUUUAAAAUAUUUUGAUGUUAUUGUUUAUUCUUUCUGAUUUGAGUUUCAUGAAAUUAAAAUUAUUGCCAAUACCUAGUGCAUGGGCACUAUGCCCUUUUUUCUUUUUUUCUUUUUUUUUAUGAAAAUGUAGUAUGCAUAAUUGAUCCUUGAUGUAUACUAUAUUUUUAAUUUAACAACGGAAAAAAUAUGCUGUGAAAAUUAAACUAGUGGACGAGAUAGAGUAAGGAUAUAUGAAUGCAUCAGGUGCAUCCAAUCGUUUUAUAAGGCUAUUAAAUUAUUUAAAUUAAAUAAAAAUUUUAAAUAUAAUAAAUAUAAAUUUUUUUGAAAAAAAUAAAUAGCUAGGUUACAAAUUAUCCAAAAUUUAAUUAUCUUUGUAUAUUCAAAAUUCAAAAUCAUCAUAAGAAACUGCAUCUAACUUGCGAUGGCCAGUUCCUUAAAAUUAAAAUCCAAAACAAAAGGUACGAUCUACAGUAUCUAAAUGGAUUAUGUAUAAAAACACAAGGUUAAAAAAAAAAAAAAAAAAAAAAAAAAAAAANAAAAUUGAAUGAAAUUAAUUAACCAAAAUUUUAUUUUAUUGGAAAAAUAACCAUAAAAUUUUUAAAAUUUUCUGAUUUUAUUGUUUAUUCUUUCUGAUUUGAGUUUCAUGAAAUUAUUGCCCAUACCCAGUGCAUGGGCACUAUGCCCCUUUUUUUUCUUUUUUUCUUUUUUUUUUUUGAGGAAAUGUAGUAUGCAUAAUUGAUCCUUGAUGUAUACUAUAUUUUUAAUUUAACAACGGAAAAAAUAUAUGUGAAAAUUAAACUAGUGGACGAGAUAGAGUAAGGAUAUAUGAAUGCAUCAGGUGCAUCCAAUGUUUUAUAAAGCUAUUAAAUUAUUUAAUUUAAAUAAAAUUUUUAAAUAUAAUAAAUUUAUUUUUUUUUGAAAAAAAUAAAUAGCUAGGUUUCAAAUUAUCUAAAAUUUAAUUAUCUUUGUAUAUUCAAAAUUCAAAAUCAUCAUAAGAAAUUGCAUCUGAUUUGUGAUGGCCAGUUCCUUAAAAUUAAAAUCCAAAACAAAAAGUACGAUCUACAAUAUCUAAAUGGAUUAUGAUGAUUUUGAAUUUUGAAUAUACAAAAAAAAAAAAAAACUGUUACUAAGUCAUCUGAAGUCUAUUCGUCUGUCGUAGAGAAAGAGUAAUUAUUUGAUUUAUGAAGAAAUAUGUCUUCAAAAUAAGAAAUACUACUGAUGCAUUCAAAAGUGUGGUGUAAAUCUAAGAUUUAUUCUCAAUAUGAAUUUUGUUUUAAAUCUCAUCUUAGCAUCCGUUCAUUGUAUGGACUAGUUUACUGGAAUAAACUCUGGCAUCCUACCUAGUUCCAUAUAACGUUUUGGUUCCGGUGGUCGUAGCAGGGUAAAUUUGUAUUUAUCAGAUCAACUUAUCAUGACACAUAACUUCUCUUUGCUUUUUCUUUUCUUUUUUUUUUUUUUGGAUAAAAGCCUUCCCAUGCUGGUAUGCAAGAGAUUAUAACUGGAUUGCUUAUGAAUAUGAGAGAAGACUAGUGCUUAUUGUUUUGGAAUUUGUUGCUUGUCUGAUGAUCCUGUCUGUUUCUUACAUUUAUUUGAUUUUUUAUAUAACAGGAACGACGAAUGAGAGGUCAAGCAUUUGUGACUUUUCCAACUGUCGAUCUUGCUCAGCAUGCAUUGGUUUGUCUAUCUUUUGAGGCUAAAAACUAUUUUUUUAAAAAAAAUUUUAAGGGCCGCUGAAAAUUUAGUUAAAAACUAAAAUUAAGUUCAUGUAUGAUGUUGCUUGUUUUUUAAUACCUGGGCGAAUUUUGAGAAUAUGUAGCCCAAAGAAAGCACCUGCUUUGAUGCUUUGGAGGGCCCACAAAUUUCAAAAGCUGCCCAAAAAAGACAUCUUUUAUGCUUUGGAGUGCUCCCUUCAAAUGUUUUUAAAUGAUGAUAGGAACUGUCACUGGAGAAGCAUCAUGCCGCAGAGGCAUUCUUCUCGAUCUGUUAUAGUGCUUGAGAGCUUUGAUAGGAGCUCUCAAGCACUUUCGGAAAUUCUUUUGGGGCCAUCGAACGCAUAAAAGCUGGUGUGUUCGAAAAUAGGCCUCAGUCUGCGAAGCAGCUCUAUUUCUAUCAUGAACUGUUUCACCUGAAGUUAUUUUCGGAAAAAAGAAAAAAAAAAAAGUGAAAAAGAUAGGCUCGAAAGUGGGGAGCAGAGAAUCUGCAAUUUUUACUCUGCAAUACUUUAGUUAUGAUAAUUAUGUUCUUCAAUUUUAAUCUUCUAUUCUAGAGUAACGAGCAUUGUUCAUAAUAAUACAUAUCCAUUGUUCAUAAUAAUGGAUAUGUAUUCAAAGGCAAGGCGAUGAUCAUCCAGUUUGGUUGCAAUCCUGUUGCUGGCAAAGCUACCUAAUUAAAUGGGGAUUUUGAUGUAGACCAUGGGUGCAUGCCUUGGGAUGGAAAUUUUGAUCAAUCCAAAAAUUGUCACAGCUCUUCAACGUCCAAUAAAAGAUGGGUAUGGUUUUUUCAUUUUUAAAAAAAUAAUGAUGUGUAUCGUGUGCGUUCAUGAGGUUUCAUUUAUUUUAUCAGAAAUGAUUCAGUACUUUAUUAUUAAAAAAAUAAAAUAGAUCCUAACCGUUGAUUAAUAGAGGGUAAAGAUGUAAUUUAAUAUUUAGCAGGUAAAUGGGUUGCAUCAUUCGAAGUUAUUUCGAUAAUUAAACUAUACAGCAUUUAAAAAAACUUUUAAUUGAUAUUCUAAAUUUAUGCAUUAAUUUGCACUAAUUUAGGAAAUUGAUUGAUUACCCUAAUUUAGGCAUUAAUUAGGCAUUAAUUUACGCAUUUAGUUUAGAAAUUUUAGUGUUUCUAAAAUUUAGGCAUUAAUUUAAAUUAUAGGAAUUUUAGAAAUAGUUCUAUUUCUAAAUACAUUGAAUUUAAAUAUUAAAUAUUAAAUAUUUAAAAUUAAAAAAUUAAAAUUUAAAUUAGAGGAAUUUUGUAUUACUAUUUAAAAAAUUUGUAAUGUUGAUAAAUAUUUUAAUUCAACAUACUUAAUAUGUUUAAGAAAAUUUUUAAAUUCCUAAAGUUUAGACAACAAUUUUGUAUCACUUAUUUUAAAAAAAAUUAAAUGUUGGUAAAAAAAUUAUAAAUUAAAUGUAUUUAAUAUGUUAAAAAAAUUAGAAUUGUUCUACUUUAGACGUUAAUUAUUUAUCAUUAUUCAAAAAAAUUUGUAAUGUUGGUAAAUAUUUAAAUUUAACAUAUUUUAUAUGCUUAACAAACUUAUGAAUUCAUCUUAGACAUUAAUUUUGUAUUACUAACUUUAAAAAUUGAGUGUGGACAACAUAUUUAAAUUCAACAUAUUUAAUAUGUUUAAAAAUAUUUAAGAAUUUUUCUAAUUUAGAUAUUAAUUCUUUAUCACUAUUUAAAAAUUUUAAUGUGAAUAAUUGAUUAGAAAUAUAGGGUAUAAUUCAAAUUUAUUCUUAGAAUAGAAUUGUAUGGACAAAAUUAAUUCAAAUUUUAAUAGAAAAAAUUUAUCUUUUAAAAUAAUAAGAUAAUGUAUUGUAAUUUAAAAUAUAAUUUUUUUAUAUGAAAUGCCAAAUAUGAGAGGAAAAAAGAUAGAGAGAGAAAAAAAAUAAAGAGAGAAUAAAAAUUUUGAUAAUAUAAUAGAGAUAAAAUGACUAAAUUGCUCAUGUAUUAAAAGAUAAAAAUAUUUUUUUUUGAGGUAUCUGAUGAUCGGUACCUCUCCUAAAGUGACUUGCUAUUAUAGGUCACAAUUUUAAAAAAAUUAAAUCUGGACCGUUGAAUGGGAGUGAAUGAACGGUAAGAAAAAAAAAAAAAAGUAUAGAAGCAUUACUCUUAUUUUAUGGCCACUUCUGAUGAAACACCUAUAUAAUAGGGCUACACAUGUCGACCUCAUGCAAUAAUGCAUGCGUAGUGGCCACAAGGUGCUUCAUCUAGGUUCCUAUGAGCAGCGCUAGAACUUUAGUAACCAGAUUUUUGCAUCAAAUUAGUUCAUUAAAGUUUGAACUGAGUAGUUAAGCCAGCAAUUGCCCUUCUUCAGGAUUUUGUAUCCUCCGAAUGGAAUAUGCAUGAACUAUUGUUGCUGCUUUUCUGAGGAAGGUUUUAACCAUCUAUUAAAAGCUCAUUUCGAAGUGCAAAUUAUCAUUAGUUACUUUCUAAUAUUGCUGAAUUGAUCAGUCAGUUUUGUUCAAUUUGGCCUUUGGUUUUUGUGGUGAUUUUUGACAUAUUUUUCUGCUUUUGUGUUGAUAAGCUACGAGGACUGGUUCGCCAUAUUUUAAAGUUCAGCAACUACAAUCCAUGCCGUGGAGCUCUACUGCCGCAAUGAGAUGGUUACUUGUGUGCGCCUCCUAGUUUUGUUUUAUCCAGGAACAUGACAAACUCAGUUGGAAUUGAGAUGGUGAUGAAAGGUAACACACACUUUGUAGAUUGUAAAAUUCUCUCCAUGGUGAACUACCCCACCAGUCUAUCAACUCUUAACCAAGUUCCAUUUUGAUCCUCGAGCUUUUAGGGAUUGUUUGCGACUUUGAACUCUUAAAUGUUUCGCACAUCUAAUUCUAUUAGAUGGCAAAUUAUUGGUUACACCCAAUAUAUGUGUACAUGUUUGUAUACUUAUCUAUUGAUUGUUGCUUGUGAAUUUACAAUCGUUUUUUUUUAUUUAAAAAUUAGAGUAUUGAAUUGAAAGUAUGUGAUGGAAAAAAGGGCUAAUGAACUUAUGUGCGCAAACAUACUCGUACCGUUACUUCCAAAGUGUAAUAGAGCACGUGAACAAUGGGAAAGCGAAUAUAGUAGCACUUAAGCACCUAGUACAAUUUAUGAGCUGUACCCCUACAUAAUUAUAGUAGUGGUGGGUCCAUGCUUUGAUUAUUGGGCAUCUGAUCUAAUAGUGACUUUUAAAGACUCGGUACAUAAGAGAUGCUUAGGAAACAUUGUGGAUCACAUGAAAGGUAUAACCCUGUAAAGUUAUUUGUGAGCUGGUAAAUUUAUUUAAUGCUCUUGAUGCACUGAUGUGAUAUGUAAAAUUAUCAAAAUCUCUUGUAUUGGAAUUGCCACCAUAAGGAAAAUAUAUAAAACAAUAAUUUUGAAAAAUUUGUAGCAGUACUUGUGCAAGUGGGGAGGUAAUAAUUUUUUUCUUCCCUUAAGUGGGUUGAUAUAGGAGAAAUUAUCGAAUUAUCUGAUUGAUCAAGUUCAAUGUGUACCCAUUUUUUUUAAACUUGAUCUCAUAUAUUAGGAUUUUGAAUUUAAAUUUUUAUUUUAAAAUAUAAAAGUUUGGUAGGGUGGGUGCACCGAUGAUGUGGCGCAUGAGGUGCAAGCGAUAUUUCCCACGACAAAAGAAUUAAAGUAAAAGCAAAAUAAGAACAAAGCUAAAAGCACUUGCCCGCUUUAUUCCUGUCCUCACGCAGUGGAGGAAAAAAGAAAUUUGUUAAUCUAUAUGUAUGUUUUAAGUCUCACAUUUCAAGAUAAUUUGGUAAACUUGGUAAAUUUUUUUUCCUUCAAUUAUUAAUAAGUCCAAAGUUUUUCUUAGAUCUAUCUAUUAACUAAAAAAAAAUCAAAAGUUAAGUGCAAACUAUUUUCAUGAAUAAGGGAAAUUAAGAAGAAAAUGAUAAAAAAAAACAGCUAAACAUUUUAAUGAACAAGAAAGAGAGAGUAAAGAAUAACAAAGCUGAUUGUUUUCAUGAACAAGGGAAAGAAGAAAAGAACAAAACAAAGCAGGGAAAAGAAGAAAAUAAUAAACAUAAACUAAGCACGCGGCGUGCAUAUAUGCUAAUUAAUAUUCAGUAUACUCUUCUUUGUUGUAGGAGUUUUUUUUUUUUUUUUUGAGAAAAAAAUAGCGAGUUAUUUGUUUCAUUUAUUAGGUAAAAUAAACUAGACAUAUAUAAUAGAAACAGCCGAGGCUUCUGAGAAAAAAAUUAAAAAAGCAAACCAAAAGGAAAUUUGAACUCUGGUAGUGUGGUGUAGUGUUGCAGUGGUCUCCAUACUUUGUUUCCUUUUUUUCUCUUUUUUUUGGGCAAUCAAAAUUUAUUCAUAUCAAUUCUUCAAGUAUAAUAGCAUCUUAGAAAAAUACCUUGGGGUGAUAGCCGUUAUGAAAUUAUUCAAUCUGAUCGGACUCUGAAGCAAAAAAUUGUCAAAUUUGGAUUGAAAUUUUACAUUGAAAUUUUACUGUCCAUUACGGAUUCAGAUUCAGAUCUGAAAUUUGAAAUUUUUUUGAGUUCAAAUUAAGAUUUACUAUUCCUUUUUAAAUUCGAAUUCAAAUUAUUGAAAACCAAAACUGAUUUUUGACUGCUUUUUUAAUUUCUCAAGUAAUGCCAUUUGAAAAUGGACACGGAAACAACAAGACCCAAAGAGCAAAUUCGAAUCUGAUAAUAUUUUUUAUAAUCUGUACAACAGGAUAAAGACGAUUGAGGGACCAGCGUGCAAAUCGUCAAAGAUUCCCAGCGUAAUUAUCGGAGCGGCAGCACAAGAAUUGGAGCAGUCACCUACACCUACUGCCAACUUUUCCUCAAUUUCCAAGCACGAGAGAGAGAGAGAAAAAAAAAAAAAAAAAACAACAACUGGAGCAUGCUUUUCUGCCUCUUCAUCUGAAAAUGGACACGACAAUACGAAGAUUCAAAUAUUUUUAUAAUUUGUACAAUUGGAUAAAGAUUGAUCAUUGAUCAUGGGGUGUAUUUCACUAGUUGGAUUUUUUUUUUUUUUUUUGAGAGAGAAAAAUAGUAUAGUACCAGUUUCGUAUAUUUCAUUCAAAAAUAAACUUAGCUAGAACUAUAAAUUAAUUAAAAUUCAAAUUUAAUUCUCGAAUAUCAAUCACCAAACUUUUUUUGCCACUUGCGCUAGAAACCGUCGGUGCGGGAUGCAUCUUCUAUGCCCAAUGAAAUGAAUGUAUAAGUAAGAGUUUUCGAAAAAAAAGAAAAAAACGAAAAAAAAAAAAAGCAUUGGCGCGUGCGUUCUCUCGAAGCUCCUCCGGCGGCCCCACCAUAGUUAUAUGAGACGCAGCACAAUAAAUGGAGCAACCAUCUUCCAGCGGUGGAGAGCAUCCCCUUAAUUAUCCUCUGCUUCUCUGUAGUAGGAUGUUCGUAUUGAGAAGAAUUAGGCAGCAGCACGCGCGAUGGCGGAGGGGAUCGCAUUCGGUUUGGUGAAGGGAGUGCUCGGCAAUCUGGGCUCCGCUCUCUGGAACGAAAUCGGGCUGCUGCGGAGCUUCAAGAACGAAAUUGUGCUUAAUUAUUAUUAUUAUUAUUAUUUAUUACUAUAUAUAUAAAAGUAGAACCCUUAAUGAACCCUAUGUGAGAAGCUGACACGUAGCUUUCUAUAUACUUGUCACGUGUCAAACUCAAGUAUGGAUAUUUGGUUACGAAUUAUUUAAAAUUAUUGGUUUAAUUAAUUAUUUAAAAUUAUUGGUUGCGAAAUACGCAAUAAUCUGUUGCGAAUUAUUUUUUCGCGAUGGAAAUAAUCUGUUACAAAUUCAAAUUUCGUAUUAGCAGAUAAUUAAGAAAAAAAAUUCAAAACUCACGUUUUUAUAAAAAAAUAAUAUCUUUUAUUAUAUUAUUAAAAAUCACAUAUAAUGAAUAAAAUUUUAUUUCAAAGUCACCUAUAAUUAUGUUGAGAUAUUUGAAAAAUCUAUGGAUAUUAUGUUACGAAAGAAUUGGCGGUGCGGAUAUUACGCGUGAGAAGAAAAAUAUUUAUCUUUAUUUGGAAAUAAAUUAUUACUUAGUUAAUUAUUUAAAAUGAUUGGUUGAAAUUUCUGGACAUAAAAAUAUUAGUAAAAAAGUAUAGGCAUUUUUGGAAAGAGGAAAAAAUUUAAAACUCACCUCACUCCUGUAAUUUUCUUCGCUCUUAAAUAUUGAUGCUUUAAAAUAGAACAUGCUAUUUCCCUACUGUCACUUCUGUAAUUUUCAUUUCGUAAUUUUUUUCCUUUAUGUCACUCAUGUAACUUUUCAUCUUCAUGCAAUAAAAUUUUUUUUUCUUUAUUUUUUAUUGAAAACCAACAUCUAUAUAUUUUUGAAUCUUAAAAGCGACAGUAGGAACAUAAUAUAUGUGUGCUUACUCUAAUUUGUGUCAAAUAUGAAAGUUUAGUUGAUCUCAUUAUAUGCUUAAAUAUUAAUGUCAUUUGUAAUUUUUCAUAUCAAUUUUAGUUAUCAUUUUAUUUCGCACAUCAAUAUGUAAAUGUAAAUUGUUUUACAUACCAAUUCAUAGAUAAUAGAGCAGGAUUGAAUUUUGCAUUUUCGUUGAAUAUUUACUUUGGUCCAAUUUUUUUUUUUCUCUAGCUUGUGUACUUUAAUAUGUACUAUAAUUAAGAUUGAUAGUAUAUUUUUUUAUUUGUUAAAAAAUAUAAAAUUAAUUAAAAAAUUUUUUUAUUAUCAUCACAUAAUAAUUUUUAUUAUUCUAUAUUAUUAUAUUAGCCGUGCAUCGCACGGGUGAAAAUCUAGUUAUUAUUAUUAUUACUACGAUAAAGCAUUUUUGAGUACCUAACGUUUGGGACCAACCGUACAAAAAGGAAAAUUGUACGAAAUUAACUUAAAUUUUAUUUUAUUGGAAAUAUAGCCGUAAAUUUUUUUAAAAAUGUUUUGAUUUAUUGUCUAUUCUUUCUAAUUUGAGUUUCAUGAAAUUAUUGCCAAUUAUUUACGCAGCUAAUAUGCACUAUGCCUUUUUUUCUUUUCUUUUUUUUUACACUUUAGAAAAUACAGUAUGCCGUAACUGAUCUUUGGUGUAAACUAUAUUUUCAAUUUAGCAAUCGGAAAAAAAAAUAUUUUUUGAAAAUUAAACAUGUGGAUGAAAUAUUAAGGUAUCGCACAAAUAUAACUGCAUAGUUCUUCAGUAAUAAUUAAGCAUAAUUUUAUAGUUUUGGAGGAGUAUAGAUUAAAACCGGAUUAAAGCUAAGCUUUUGGACCAUUCAAAAUAUAGAAAUAUUGCUUCUAACCACCCGGUGCCCAAACAAAGUCAGCUCAGUUGUAAUUUUUAUACUUACAAAUUAAAAUGGCUGGAAUAAAAUAAGAAAAAUAUUAAGGAUGAAUAAAACCCUGGUUCACACCUGUUUGGAUGCACCAGGUGUGGGUAGUGAUUUUUCAUGAACCAAAAUCAUAUAGUGUUAAAGAAUAGCGAGAAAAAUUAAAUUAAAAUUUUUAAAUAUUAGGUAAUUAAUUUCAAAUGAUAAAAAAUUCAGAUUAAUUACACAUAUUUUUAUCUCCCAAAAAUAAAACACACAACAACAACAAUAACAUGACCUCUGCAAAGAAGGGUCUUUCUUCGUCAUGAACAACAGGGCAUCCCUCUCUACCUUGAUCCGAAUUUGGUUGAUUAAGAGAAAAAAAAUUUUGAGCUCCCAAUAGAUAGAAAGAAACAUGGCUGCAUAUAAUUGUGGAGGGAAGGAUUUCUUUUUUUUUUUUUUAGAAAAAAAGGAGACAAAGCCUUAAUUAGCAAGAGCUCUUUUUGUACGAAUGAACAAGUGCAUUUAUGUAUGGUGACUUGGUCACGUUUUUAAGUUUCCUACAUGUAUUGCUUGGAUCCAUUAGUGAUAUUUACAGUUUGUAAUGGAUUGAUUCAUUAAGCAGUGCAGUCAAUUUGUUGUUGGAUGUAUGCUUCAAAAGCUUGGUCUUUCGUCAAAAAAUUAAUUGAAUGGUUCAAGCUAGGUGUUAUGCAAAAAGAUUCAAAUAAAUGGUUCAAGUUAGGUGUUUUUUUUUUUUAUAACAUUAUAAGCAUUGGAUGGAUUUUUGCUUUAAUCUAAAUAGUUUUAGAGUUAGCAGCUUGUUUUGGACACUCUUUAAUACUCGUUUUGGAGAGAAACCAUGCCUUUCUGCCUCUUUGUAUCGAAAUGGACAAGGAAACAGCAAGAUGCAAAGAGCAAAUUUGAUACUUACAAUAGUAUAAUCUAUUUCUCAAUAUCAAAGGAGGGUUUGGGAAUCAAAGGGUGACAUGUGUCGCCCUAAACCCUUUUACUCUCUCUCCACCCAAAACCAAUAACUUGAUAUUUUUAAAAGUAUAGUAGCUAAAUUUUAUAUAUAUCAAAAUUUAAAAUUUUGAUACUUUCAAAUUUUAUAUUUUAUAUUUUAAAAUUUAAAUUUAAUUUAUAAUAUUUAUUUUUAAAAUUUAAAUUUUAAAUUAAUUAAUUAAUUUUAUUAAUAAUUCAUAAUAUAUAAUAUAGUUAAUUAAUUUUAUUAAUAAUACGCAUAAUAAAUUGCGUAAUAAAAUCUAACCUAAUAGAUGCAAUUUAAAUCACGUAAAGUGUCACGCUCCGAGCUCCGCCUAUUUGGUCGGAUUCGGGCACGCCGACAGACCGCCGAACGGACANNNNNNNNNNNNNNNNNNNNNNNNNNNNNNNNNNNNNNNNNNNNNNNNNNNNNNNNNNNNNNNNNNNNNNNNNNNNNNNNNNNNNNNNNNNNNNNNNNNNNNNNNNNNNNNNNNNNNNNNNNNNNNNNNNNNNNNNNNNNNNNNNNNNNNNNNNNNNNNNNNNNNNNNNNNNNNNNNNNNNNNNNNNNNNNNNNNNNNNNNNNNNNNNNNNNNNNNNNNNNNNNNNNNNNNNNNNNNNNNNNNNNNNNNNNNNNNNNNNNNNNNNNNNNNNNNNNNNNNNNNNNNNNNNNNNNNNNNNNNNNNNNNNNNNNNNNNNNNNNNNNNNNNNNNNNNNNNNNNNNNNNNNNNNNNNNNNNNNNNNNNNNNNNNNNNNNNNNNNNNNNNNNNNNNNNNNNNNNNNNNNNNNNNNNNNNNNNNNNNNNNNNNNNNNNNNNNNNNNNNNNNNNNNNNNNNNNNNNNNNNNNNNNNNNNNNNNNNNNNNNNNNNNNNNNNNNNNNNNNNNNNNNNNNNNNNNNNNNNNNNNNNNNNNNNNNNNNNNNNNNNNNNNNNNNNNNNNNNNNNNNNNNNNNNNNNNNNNNNNNNNNNNNNNNNNNNNNNNNNNNNNNNNNNNNNNNNNNNNNNNNNNNNNNNNNNNNNNNNNNNNNNNNNNNNNNNNNNNNNNNNNNNNNNNNNNCUAUAUAAAAAUAUUAAAAAAAUAAAAUUUAUUAUAAAAAUAUUUUUACAUUUGCAGCAUUGCGCGGGUAUUUCACUUGUCUUCUACUAUAUUAAAGGAGGGUUUGAGGAGACCUUGGGGUGACAAAUGUCCCUCGAACCCUUCCCUACUCUCUCUCAUAUAUAUAUAUAUGUAUAUAUAUGUAUAUGUAUAUAUGUGUAUAUAUAUAUAUAUAUGUGUAUAUGUAUAUAUGUGUAUAUGUAUAUAUGUGUAUAUAUAUAUAUAUGUGUAUAUGUAUGUGUAUAUGUGUAUAUAUAUAUAUAUGUAUAUAUAUAUAUAUAUGUGUAUAUGUAUAUAUGUAUAUAUAUGUGUAUAUGUAUAUAUGUAUAUAUAUGUAUAUAUAUGUAUGAAUGAGGGUACUAUGCUAUCGGAAGCACGGAGCCUUCCGUGCUUCCAGCUCGUUUUCGAUGUUGCGAUUUUCGAAUCGUCGAUUGGCUCCGUUAAAAUUGAUCUAGAGUAUUUGAAGUGCCUAGAAAAUAAAUUUUAUUAUUUUUCGAUAUCAUUUGCCUAGUGAUCGAAUGAGCUCAAAAUCAACAAAUUUCAAUGGCCGUAGUGAGCCGUUUGCAAGUUUAACGGUAUAGAAAUAUCCAAAUCACGUGAAAUUUUGAUAGAAAAUUUUUUAUACUAUAUAAAACAAGAUCAAUAUUUUUGAUUUAAAAUUUUAAUGUCAUAUUANCGGCAGGCUGAGUUCAAGCACCGUGAGACAUUCUCGGCCGUCGACGAAAAGGAAAUAGUUGGGAGAUAUGAUGAUAAAGAGAAAAUUGUGAAGCUACUGCUAGAGACGGCCGGCGAUCACGACGUGUCGGUCAUUCCGAUCGUGGGAUUGGGGGGUUUGGGGAAGACGACGCUCGCUCAAAUGGCCUUCAACGACGGACGGGUUACGGGCCAGCAGCGCUUCGAUCUACGGGUGUGGGUCUGCGUGUCUACCGAUUUCCACAUGAAGACGAUUGAUUGCAAAGCCGGUAAUAUCUGCAACCAAAGAGGAGUGUGAUCUUGAUAACUUGGAAUCCGUAGCGAGUUUUCUCCUCAGGAUUUUUAGUCUAAACAGAUUUUUGCUGGUGCUGGACAAUGUAUGGAACGAAGAUCAGGAAAAGUGGGAGAAAUUGAAGGUCUUAUUUAAGGACGGCAAGAAGGGAAGUAAAAUUUUAGUGACCACACGGAGCAAGAAGGUUGCCACGAUAAUGAAAACAGUCGAACCACACCAUGUGAAAGUCUUAUCAGAUGAUGAUUGUUGGACAUUGUUCAAAAGACGGGCAUUUGACGAAGGGGAAGAGAACGACUAUCUGAGCUUGCUCGAAAUCGGAAAGCAGAUAGUUAGGAAGUGCGGCGGUGUGCCUUUAGCAGCAAAUGCUUUAGGAAGUAUGAUGCGCUUUAAGAGCAGGACGGAGGAUGCAUGGUCCGCUAUUAGAGAUAGCGAAAUAUGGAGGUUGGAAGAAGAAGGAACUAUUUUACCAUCAUUGAAAUUGAGCUACAUUCAGAUGCCAUCAGCUUUGAAGCAGUGCUUCGCUUACUGCUCCAUAUUCCCCAAAGACUAUGACAUUGACAAGGAUGACUUAAUCCGGCAAUGGAUUGCUUUAGGCUUCAUUUCAUCGCAUGAAAAAGGGACUUCGAUGGAAGAUAUUGGGAAUGAGUACUUUAACGAUCUAUUAUGGAUGUCUUUCCUUCAACAAGUGUGGGAAAGUUUUAGCAAGGUUACCUGCCGUAUGCAUGAUUUAGUGCAUGACCUCGCACAAUCUGUGGCAAAAGAAGAAGUUGCUGUUAUAGGUGCAGAAGACUAAGCAAGGAUCCCAGAAGGUUGCCGCUAUGCAUCAAUACAGAGUCGUUUCAUGCCACAAGUUUCAAUUACCGUAAUGCGAAGGUUGCGAACUCUUCAAUUUAGGGAAUCUGGUUCACCUAUUAUGAAUUUUUAUAGCGAAGCAAAAUGUUUACGCCUGUUGGAUUUACAUGAUUCCAAAAUUUCUAUGUUGCCAAGCUCAAUCAGUAAGUUGAAGCUCUUAAGAUACCUCAACCUUUCGGAGAACAGUAUACAAGAAUUGCCUAAAUCAAUUACCAGCCUCUGCAACUUGCAAACCUUGAAUCUUUCAGGCUGCCAAAAGAUCCGUACAUUACCCAAAUUUCUAGGAAGGCUUACGAAUUUGCGGAGUUUAGAUUUAAGAGAUUGCAAAUCUCUGACAAUACCAGACUCCAUUAGCAACCUUCAGAAUUUGUAAGCACUAAAUUUGAGUUCGUGCGAAAAGGCGAUAUCACUUGAACCUAUAUGUCACCUCAAAAACCUGCAUUACCUGGCCCUAUCACAUCUAGAUUCUUUGGUGACAUUACCUGAAUCCAUUGGGAGCGUUCAAAACUUGCGUAUUCUGAAUAUUUCUUGGUGCUCUUCUCUACUAUCAUUACCCUCAUCGUUUUGUCAACUCAAAAACCUACAUAACUUAUACCUAUUAUUUCUGACUUCUUUGGUGACAUUACCUGAAUCCAUUGGGAACCUUCAAAACUUGCGUCAUCUGAACCUUAUGUGUUGCUCUUCUCUACUAUCAUUACCCUCAUCGUCAAGUGAUCUUCAGCAUUUAGAGAAACUAGACAUUAGUAAUUGUGAAAAAUUAUGUGAGCUGCCUAAAAUGAUCCAAAAGCUGACCAAACUAAAAGAAUUGUUAAACUCCCAUUGCUCGGAAUUGAAGGGCAUGCCUCGAGGGAUCGGCAAGUUAGUUAGCUUGCAGGAAUUGUCCCUUUUUGUCGUCGGCAAGCAAGACCGCGUCGAACAUUGUGCUAGCAUUUCUGAGCUAGAGCACCUUAAGCUUGUCGGCCGGCUGAAGAUCAAGGGUNNNNNNNNNNNNNNNNNNNNNNNNNNNNNNNNNNNNNNNNNNNNNNNNNNNNNNNNNNNNNNNNNNNNNNNNNNNNNNNNNNNNNNNNNNNNNNNNNNNNAUAUAUUUUUAUUAUUUAAAUUUUAGCAAAAUAAAAAUAUAAAUGCGAGCUUAAUUAUAAAAAGACUCAUUUAUAUGUAAAGUUUCAACAAUUAGAUCAAACUCUAAUGAAUAAAAUUUUAUAAAUUUAUUUUUUAUAUAUAUUUAAUCUAAUCUUUUUUAAUUUAUUGUUCGUUGGCCAGCUUAUGGGCCACCUCGACACGAGCUGAAUUUUUCGGCUCGAUACUUUAACGAGCUAGCUCGCGAACACAAGCCAAUCCCAGUUCGUACGUGUUCGGCUCGUUUACACCCGUACUUGGCAGUAUUUGACAGCUGGAUUAGACACACCUUGUUCUUGAAGUUGACUUGUAUGACAAGGACCGGUGUUUAGAUUCGGAGAGUAAAUUUAAAACAUAAAUUUUUAAUUCGAGGCUAAAUAAUAAUUAUAUCUAAUGUCGAAUUUAUUUAUUUAUUUUUGAGAGAUAGGUAAGAUGCUACCUGCUUCGUUUAUUUCAUUUAGAAAUAAACUUAGUUAGAAAUGUGAAUCAAUUAGGAUUCGAACUUGGGACAUCAGGUACCAACCACCAAACCCUUUGUCGUGCUAGGCACGGUCGGUUAAUGUCGAAUUUAUUACAUUAUCACCUUUCAGAUUUAGACUCUUUUAUGUCAGCCCUUCAAUUAAGCUGGGCAUUCAAUAUGGAAUCUAGAAGUUGACUUGUAGAACACAAAAUUUCUAAGCUAACUUUGGACCUAGAAAUUUUCUACGCGGAUUUUGGGAGUGCUUGCAUUUUGAGACCAUAGUUAGUUAAUUCGGAUUCGGCAAGAGUUCGGUAUGAAUAUAAUACGAAUAAAAUUUGUAUCCUAAUUUUUAAAUCCGUAGAAUAAUACGGCUAAAAAACGGAUUCGCCAAUUAUAUACAGAUACUAUAUGUUCAUCAAUUAAAAAUUCGGGAUAAAAAAUUCGGCUAUUAAAUUAAUUUUUUUUCUCUAGAUUUAUACUAUUAGCAUAAAUACUCAUAAUUCUUAAGAAUAUAAAAAUAAGGAGCUGCAGAAUUAAGCAGAUUUAAGUAAAAAAAAUUAACGACUCAAAUAUUUCAAGUUCUACCACAUGACUGCCUAUCAUGGAUCGAAAGAAUAAAAUCACAUCCAAAAAACAUUAGAAUUAGCCCUCAAUAAUGCAUCAAACAUAACUUAACUCUAAAUAAUUAACCCCACUCCAUUGGUUCUGAGUCUUCAGACAACAUCGAGCAAAUUUCGGGCGAGUGAAUAUUUUUUUUUUUUUUUCCCGUUUUGAGCGCGUGUGCUGCUUGCGGAGGGAGGGUACGGACACCCUCGAUAAUUUCGGGUUCGCGAAUUAUAAACCCUAAAAAACGAGAAUUAUUUUAAUUUUUUCUUAAAAAAAGUACGUAUUCGGUUUCCUUUAUUCGUUAUUCAAAAAAUCUCUUUACAUUUAACCUCUGUUGUUACCAUAUUGAUUCCAUUAGAAAUUUAUUUUUAAUAUCGAACUUGUCCUUUUGCUACCUCCAAUUUCUCUCCUUUUUUGUCUUUUUCUCAUGUAUUUUUUCCUUCAAAUUAAUAUGAUAGAUGAGAAAAAGUAUAUUAAGAGGUUCUAAACCUUCUGUGUCAAUAUGACACCUCGUAAUAUUUAUAGGCUGUACUUGAGUUAUUUCAAUCAAUUAAAUUGAAGGCUUAAUUAAAUUAAUUAUUGAUUCUACUGAAUUUUAUAUUGAGUAUUUUGGUAUUUGCUCUGAAACUAGUUAUUGAGAAUCCGCAACCCACUUUGAUACCGAUUGUUGUAAAUUUAACACUCGUUCUGGUAUGGAUUGUUUGGAUUACGCAAAGAAAGCAUCCAAUCGAAUUUUAACCAUAAACUCAUCUACUCAGCAAAAAUUGAUACAAACACAAAAAAGAAAAAAAUCAAAUAGAAAGCAUAGAUGAAAUAAAUUUCACUAACCAAGAAAAGAAUUAUACCUGACUCCUCUUUUACCCAAAAUAGUUUCAACCCGAGCCCUCUUUCUGAAUCUCCCUCGCUUCUAUCUUGAUUCUAUGAAUUCAGAAGACUACUCUCUCUUUUUCUAAAUCCAUGCUCGAGAUAUAUUGAUCAUCCACAGCCACAGAAGCCGCACACCUCCUCUUACACCUAUACAAUGAUGCACCUAAAACCGUGGACACUUUGGGCCACACACGACAUGCCUUCCGACUGAGACGUACGGCUCAUCAAGAGCACCCACAACAUGGCCGUAAUUGUGCUUAUUGAUGGGAAUCCAGUACUCACCCUGGUACCGGAUCUUGAGAAUCUGCAGCACGCUCCGAUACCGACUGUUGUUGAUUCGGUACCAGAUGUUGCGAUUUUGCAACGGAAGCAUCGAAUCGAAUUUUUACCAUAAAUCCGUCUCCUCAGCAGAAGCUGAUACAAUCAGAAAAGUGAGUAAAAACCAAACAGAAAAAUAUACGGGUAAAAUAAGAUUCACUAAAUAAGAGAAUAUUACAUCUGACUCCUCUUCAAUAAUAGAGUAGCUUCAACCCGAGCCCUCUUUUUGAAUCUCUCCUAUUUUCUCGUCUUCUAUAAACCCACAAAAGAAGACUUCUUUUUUUUUUCUCUCUUACAUGCACCCGUGCACUAGGAGCAUGCAACCGGGCCUAGGCUUCUCCACUAUACGGUCACCACCAUAAAAAGGCUCUCUCUCAUCCGAACAUCAUCUAGACUCACUACAAUUUGCAUACUAUGGCCCAAUAUUUAAAGCGGGCUCCACCCAAAAUAUACCCAAAUCCUAGUAUAAUUAGAAUUCCUACUCCAAUUAAUAUUUAAAUCUAUAUUUUAUUUAUCUCCAAUAUAUUUAAAUAUUUAUCAUAAUCUAAUUAGAUUUAUACUCUAAUUAAUAUUUAAAUCUUAAUUUAUCUCUAAUAGAUUUAAANGUCUACUGACAGCUCAAAGUCGACAAAAGAGUUAUGCGGAUAAACGUCGGCGAGAACUGGAAUUUCAAGUUGGCGAUCAUGUAUUUUUGAAGGUUUCACCGACGAAAGGAGUUAAAAGAUUUGGCAUUCGAGGAAAGUUAAGCCCUCGAUUUAUUGGACCCUACGAGGUGUUGGAGCGGAUAGGCCCCGUAGCAUAUCGGCUUGCUUUGCCGCCGAACCUAUCGGGAGUGCAUAAUGUGUUUCAUGUGUCCACACUUCGGAACUAUGUAUUUGAUCCAACCCACGUACUGGAGAGUAUUCCAGUAGAGUUGCAUGAAGAUUUGAGCUUCGAAGAGCAUCCCGUGAGAAUACUAGCUCGAGAAGUUAAACGGCUUCGAAAUCGCGAGAUACCCUACGUGAAGAUCCUUUGGAGCAAUCACGAGGAACGGGAAGCCACUUGGGAACUGGAGAGUGCAAUGCAAGAGCAUUAUCCCUAUCUAUUCUCAAUGGAGCCUUGAAGUAAGUAUUUACAAGUUUCGCGGACGAAACUUCUUUUUAGGAGGGGUGAAUGUAAUACACUGACUCUAGCAAAUUGCGGAGUCCGAGUGUGUGGAAUGAGUUGUGGAACUAUCCUACGUGUUCUAAAGGACUUAAACAAGUUUUUGGACAAGUUUGAAAGUGAUUGGAUGGCUAAAAACAGGAAAGUGCAUUGAUUGGGCGAAAUCAGCCUUUUCUGCUUGGUGUACCGGUACAGCCAUUAUGGUGUACCGGUACACAAUGGAAAAACGUGGCAGCAGGGCUAUUUUGGUAAUUUCACACUUUGAUCCUAUCUAUUUCAUUCCAGCACGACUCCUGGGGCUCAGUGGAGGUUGCUGGAGACCAGAGAAGCAACUUUGCACCAUUCUCUCUUUCUCUCUCUAGGGUUUUUCUCUCUCUAGAUAAAAGUCGCCGUUUCGCGCCGAUUUCGCGCCGCGCUCGUCGCUCGCUGGUUCGGUGGGCUUGGGGCCAGCUUUUAAAAGGUAAAGGGAGGUGUUUUGACAGUGUUUUUCAUGUCUAUUACUGAGAGUUGCUGAACGAGAACUUUAGAAAAGUAUUUAGUUCAAUUUCUCUCUAGUUUGCGGUUUAUCGUCGGAAUUUGACGUGUUCUUAUUCCGUUGCUUCCAGCAGAGUUGUCUGGGGUUCUUGCAGCUAGAAAGGAGAUAUCUAGCUGUGAUUUAACCACUUUGAUCCAGGGAAAAAUUGCCUUGAGGCUUGAGACAGGUAUUUAGUCAACUAUUAAACUAUUUCGGACCCUUAGGCGACCUAAUCGAAUAAUUGACGCAGUUUGAGGUCGUUCUUUUCGCAGCAGGUUUCCAAGUAUCAUUUAACUAAAUUGAGGACCUGGGGAUCUGGUUUGGAGGGUAUUCUAACUAAGGGUAAGCUAGAACUUCAGUUAGAAAACUGAAAUUGCAAGUUUCCGGCAAUAUUUAUUGGUAGUCAAUGAUUUUGACGCCGUUUUGAUCAUGUUCGCAGCGAAAGGGUAAUUGACCCUUGGAUCAUCUUCGACUGGCAUCGAAGGGCUUUUUGGCAGCUUCUCUUGAGGUAAAACACUAACCCAGAAUAGGGAUUCAAGGGGUUACUUUGUACUAAGUGUAAAUUAGGCCGAAAUCGGACAUUCGGUCGUUAUUUUGACUCGGCUUUGAUGCCUUAUUUUCAGCAGGAGUGUGACUUCGUGGGGCUGAUUUUGGGACGUCUUGUGACUGCUUUGAGCAUAGUACGAGGUGGGUCGGACCUAACCAGAGCAAGUGAAUCCCUAGGUCUACGUAUGUAUUGAUAGAAAUGGUUUAUUGGUGCUAUGGGCGAUCGUUAAAGGCUCCGAACUCGUCAUCACGACGUUAUCAUAGGUGAGAGAGCCGUGUAUGCAUAAAGGAUCAUGCAUUCAGUAUUUUUGUUUUGAUUCAGGUAGAACACACUAGAAUUCAGUUAUUAUAUUUCAUAUGAUAUAAGAACUAUAACAUGAAAGUAUUCCACAUUUAUAUCAAUCAGUUGAAUGUCGUUUGAACAAUGGACGGAACAUUUAAAGUAGAGAACAAGAAUUCCGUUGACUCGAACGUAGAGAAAAUCGACAUGCCGGACUAGUGAGAUGGCCAUACAGGGACAAGAUUAAAUGCUAUGUGAUUAGCUUACCUACCAUGUUUACAAAUCUAGCGGAACUAGCUCUUGUCUAUUGUGAUGAAAUUCCGCGAUGCUAGGAUCGAGGUAAAGAACUUGCAGAUAUGAAAUUGUGAAUAGGAAUUGGAUAUUGGUUGCUUGCACCGUGCUCAAUUCGCAGCACGCUGUGAGGGUAGCUCCUACAAGCCGGCACUCCGGAGUGGCCUAGCGACAGUCUCCCCCGUCGGAUUGGGUGCCGAAGUGGUUGCGGGGAGUGUAUACCACCACGGGACCAUUAGGCGCGGCGCAAGCUGGACUACCUGUAGGUCCCGUAUGAAAGGAAAGUACCUAAAUGAAGAAGAGACAUAAAUGACAGGUUUAUUACGGUAAAGUGUACAGUAUCACUUUUAAAUCGUGCUUAUACCAUGCUAUGUCAUGAUACAGAAGUCGCUAUAUUCUUUUUAGGCAAGAUGGUUCUAUUACCGCCGUAGAAAGCGUAUUACACUGUUGAUAUAGCAGCUAUAUUAUAGGCACAUGCUUAUAAAUCAUCAAUAUGGUUCAUUGCUUUCAUUUAGGACAUCUUGAGCCUAUUGGUGUGAGUCGCCGAGGCUGGCGGCUUACCCACUGGGAACUAGGUAAUAGUUCUCACAGGCCUUGGUGGUGUUGACAGAGCCUAGUUACAGGAGAGGCUAAGGAUCGGGUCAAGGGAGUCCGCCGAGGCUAGGGACUACUAGGAAGCUGCUAGUCGAUCACUCUUGCUACUCGGGCUAACGCCGAGGGUGAGUCCUAUGUAUAGAGAGACCACCGUUGUACCUAUUCUUUUUGGUAUACCCAGAUGUAAAUGGUACUUUUAGGGUUGAGAUCGUGGUGUUACUUCUCCCUUUUGUUGAGAUCUUGGAGUUGUAUGACUCUAUUGAUUUGGAACCUGGAUUUGAUACACCGUGUAUCCGACUUGACCUUGCUGCUGAAUACAGGAUCGAGACUCUCUUGGUUUACUUCUCUAUCCUAACUUGCUAUCUUGUAGAGCAGGCCUUAAUACUGCAGGUUAGCGGGGUCUGUCCAGUUGGCCGAGAGAAUGCUUACCGCGGGGUACCGGGCGUGACGAAUUAUGGACCAGGAGCCUAGGUUGCAGUCUUAGUAAACGUCUAGCAACCUUAGGGCGCGCUGGUGACUAUAAUAGGAAGAUGCCGGCUGGAGAACGAUGCGAGUCGAGGUUGUUGUUAGCUGAGGGUAACUUGAUGGGGGCCUUUAAACUCCAUAGUAGUAGGUGAUCGUGGAUGUGCAAGUACUACUUUGGGCCGAGGUACUUCGCGUCCGGCCGACAACGUGAAUCGGAAGUUAUAGGCGUUACAUUUCCAUUACGUUUCCGCUCGAUUAGCGGUUUAUAUCCUCAAUGAGCGGUUUCAGUUAGAAAUGGUUUAUUGACCUAGUUGUUUUGUGUUGCAGUUCAAGAUGCCGGACUGAUCGCUCUGGGAACGCCGGGCGGCUGAGCGCGGCCGCUGGCGGGAAGAGGUAGAGAACCUUCCCGCACGCGCGGCGUUCGCACGUGAGCUCCAUAGAGUUCAGGAUCAGCUUGCGACGCUGACAGAGUGGUAUCAGCAGCCGCGGCAGCACGUCAGCAGAUGGAGCGCUGCGCGUCGCAGGCAGGACACGGAUGAAGAGGUUAGAGGACUUACAGCGGCAGACAGACCGACAGAGAGAUUGCCAGAUGCGACCCUAUAGCACCCAAGAGAGGGGCACGACAAGUGAGAGCACAAGGUCACCGACGGACCCGACACACCCCCAGGCUGCCGAGGGUAGACGACGCCGACGAGGAGACGAUACCACCAUCAGUACCCUGUAGCAGCAUCAAGGGACUGUGUUACCCGAGUGGGCGGGGUGAGAAGCGGGGAAGCGGAUAUGAUGGAUACGAGCGAAUGAAUCCGUCGCCUGCAAUCCCUCAUGUCUUUGAUGGGAGAAGCAGAUCAUUGGUAGAUGUGAGAAAUGGUAAUGCACAAUGGAGAAUUAUUCUAUGACACCGUUUGUUGAGGAGCAGUAUCCGAGUCUGGUUUGCGACACACCACCUUGAUCGUGAGGCUACAGGGUGGGUGACAUUCGCAGAGGAUCCCCGUGCUGACUUGUCUGCUAUUCACGUGGAACAGAUUCAAGGAACCGUUGGUGACUACUUACUUGCCCCCAAGUGUAAAGAACAAAUGGACAAGGGAUCUGAGAACCUAGACACGGGGAAGAAGUGGCAGCGUUAUGGGAAAGAGUUUCUCUCGAUACUCACCUGUGUUCCUUUUGUAGUCGAGAUAAGGACAAGGCUCGAUAUUAGGUGGGUUGCGACCUGCGCAUCGGUCACAUUGUCGCACGGCCGCAAACAUCUCCACUCUAACCGGGAUGUCGUGAACCGGGCCUUCUGUUGUUGAGAAGGGGGCAGAAAUCAUCGAAGAUCAAGAGAUGUUGUGGAACUCGAAGCAAGGGAGAAGAGAAGCAGCAGCUGGAGAGGCAUGGUCAGCAGUCCUUUCGGAGACGCGCCAAAGUAAUCCGAAGGAACAGAGCCGACAGUCGUGACAGUUCGAGGGUCGAGGUUCUUCAGCACCCGUGGAGCACCCAGAGCCGUCGACCACGCGCUUGUGAUUUCUGUGUGCCACGUAACCGCCCAAUGUGUCGCACAGCGUGGGGGCCGGGGCGUUCUUGUGCGCGCCCAGAGGGCACUUUCGUCAGAGUCCCGAGAUUCUUUGCCAGCACCCUCGUUAGCGGACUACCACCUGCAUCGUCAGCAACGCGAGCCAGGGGACCCGACACGCGUCUUAUCAGUCAGGCCGACCACCAGGGACACGCAGUCGAGAGUCAAGGCAGGGUUCGAGUGCGGGAUGUAUGCCGCCGAGACUGAGGUGGCCGCCACAGCAGCAAGGAGGUGCGAGCAGGUAUAUUACUUAUAAGGCGUGUUCGUGCGCAUUUAUUUGAGUAUGUGCUAUACGCAUUCGUUAUUGAUCGUGCAGUUCGACGGAGUUGCAUAGCAAAAGUAGCACCUACUUUGUUAUUGGGACAUAAAUUGUACCUAGACCAUAACCUAGAGGUUCGGAGUUUUGCCCUCGCUGGCCCAGUUAGGGUAGCGAUGAUUCAUGCCAGUAAUGUCAUCUAGCAUACACAAACUAGUGAGUUGAGUGUAGAUGGGUAUGAGCUGUUGACACAGAUCAUGGCUACUAUAGAUUCAACGACAGAACGGACCUUUAAGAACGCGGUCAACAGGAGUUUGUUUAUAAGCGACGAUGUCAGAGUCAUUGGUCACAAGCCAUUAGUUCCGCGACGCACGACAGAAGUCGGAGGGGAUGUUAGGCCUAUUUGGCACAUUUCUGGAGUGGGUGAAGCCAUCAAGAGUGAUAUAUCCACGUUGUGCGCGCAUUCGGGAGUUUUCCAGCUAAGUUGCCGCAUGCCACGCAUGAUAGGGAAAGUCGAAAUUGUGAUUGAUCUGUCGCCUCGGACACCGCCCAUUGUCUAAGGCGCCUUAUAGAUGGCACCGCGAUUGGAAAGAGCUGAAGGACAGUUACAAGGAUCUUUAGAUAGGAUUAUUCGACCGAUGUGUAUCGCUUGGGGAGCGCCGUUAUGUCAAGGAAGAAAGAUGGAUCUCUUUCGAUGUGGCGUGAUUCGACAAAUCAACAAGGUCCACAUCAAGCAACAAAAUCCAUGGCCGUAGAAUUCGAUGAAUAUUGGACCAGCGGCAGGAUCGAAGGUUAUUCCAAGAUUGAUUUUGGCAAUCUGGUACCAUCAGCGUAAGACAACCUGAAGAUGUUUCGGAAAACUGCUUUUAGAACAGGUAUGGGCAGUAUGAUUUACAGUCAUGCCAUUUGGAUUGACUAAUGCCAGCAGCCUUUAUGGAUUUAAUGAGCGCGUGUCUUAAGGCCUAUUUGAUAAAUCGUGUAGUGUUUAUCGAUGAACAUCUUGAUCUAUUCCGAAGUGACGACGAACACGAAUCAUGAUUGAGAGUGGGUUGGCAAGACUGCCGCAGAAAAAAAGCUGUUUGCAACCAAGAAACCGAAUUUGGCUGCUCGAAGAAGUGGCAUUUCUGGACAUGUAAUUCGGAAACUGGAUAGCUGGGGAUCCACAGAAGAUGAGGCGAUUAAAGAUUGGCCUAGGCACGACAGGUCACAGAGAUCCGGAGUUCCUUGGAUUGGCGGGAUACUACGGAAGAUUGAAAAAAAAGGAUUGGCAAAGAUGUCUACUCCUCUCACAUCACCACACAUAAAGAGAAUAAUUCUAGUGAACGAAGCUUUGAAAGAACUAUCCAAGAGCUGAAAGGAACAUUGCCACCGCCCCGAUUCUAGCACUAAGCUUUACUCGGAGUGGAUAUUGAUUUACACAGCGAUGCGUCGCUGAAUGGGUUAGGGUGUUCUAGUGCAUGAAAUGCAACGUAAUUGCUUAUGCAUCUGCCCAGUUGAAGAUAUGAAAAGAACGACCCUACACAUGAUUAAGUUGCAGUGUGGUUUUGCCUAAAGCUUGCGCCACUACCUUCUACGGGCGAGCGUGGCGAGGUUUACAACGAUCAUAAGAGCUUAAAGUAUCUGUUACUUUCAGAAGGAAUGACAACCUGAGGCAACGAGAUGGGUGUAGUAGCUCAAGAUUAUGAUGACAUUUUGACUAUCAUCCAGGAAAAGCUAAUGUGUAAGCAGAUGCUUAAGGCAGAAAAUCGACGGAAAAUUGGCGAUGUCGAUAACUAUGGCAGCCCCUGUUGAUUAAGGACCAUGGAGCAUUGAAUGUGAAGGUUAGCCCUGAUAGCCUGGAACUUAAUGUCAGGGUGAGGUGAAACCUACCCGAUGAUCGAUCGAAUUAAAGAAAAGGCAAGCUCAAGAAUGAAUCCCUGGCAAUAAGAUUCGAGUAAAGAUCAUGCUGAAUGUGUGAUUCGAGUGGAUGAUUCAGGGACUAUUAAGAUUUAGAUAGGCUUGUGUGCCAGCAAAUCAGAGACAUUAACAAAGAUGUUUUAAAGAGGCACCACCGGGCGCGGAGACGUACCAUACCCUGGAAGUACAGAAAAUGUAUAUAGGAUUCUGACGUUACACUUACCUGGUGGCUAGCACAUGAAAAAGGAAGUGGCGGACAUACGUCUAAGUGUUUAACGUCAGCAGGUUAAAAGCUGAACACGACUUCCUGCGGGAAAUCGUCAGAGCUACCCAGACAGUGUGAAGUGGGAGAUGGAUAGCUAGGAUUCAUCGUGGAUUCCCCCAAGCAGUACAGCGAUGCAAUUUGGUAAUGGUGGAUGCGAUUGACUCACUCUGCCCCACUUAUUCCAAUCCACACACUUGGUCAGGAGAAACUCGCACAAUAAGCUGAUAAAAUGCGCGAUUAACGAUGGAGUAACACAGGCCUCUAUGUUCGGAUCGAGACACCCGAUUCGUUCACAUUCUGGAGAAUUUACAGGAAGGCCAAUGGGACCUCGAUUCGAUUUAAGUAUAGACGCUUGCCACCCCCAAGUGAUGGCAGCCGGAGCGACUAGCCAGACCCUUGAGAUAGUUGCGCGGCGCUGUGUGAUUGAUUAGCAAGGCAGUUGGCCCGAGUUCGUACCGGAGGGCUGAAUGCUUAUAACAACAGUUAUCACGCAAGCUAUUCAGAUGGCCACUUUGAGCCCCUUAGGUAGAAAAGUCGCAGAUCACACUUCAUGGAGUGAAGUCGGUUGAGAGAUGGUUGGCCAGACCGAUUUACAAGAGGCUGAAGCUAAGUGCGACUUGCGCGAGAAGCUACUGACAGCUCACCAAGUCGACAAAAGAUUAUGCGGAUAAAUCGGGAAACGAGGAAUUCAAGUUGCGACAACGUAUCUUUUGAAGGAUUUCACGAACCGAAAGAGGAGUAAAAGAUGUUGGCCAUUCGAGCAAGUUUAAGCCCUCGAUUAUUGGACCUACGAGGUUUGGAGCGGAUAGGCCCCGUAGCAUAUCGGGCCGUGCUUUGGCCGCCGAACCUAUCGGGAGUGCAUAAGUGUCUGGUCCACAUUCGGAACUAUUAUUUGAUCCAACGGCCACGUACUGGAGAGUAUCCAGUAGAGUUGCAGAAGAGUUUGAGCUUAAAGAGCGCAGCCGUGGAGAAUACUAGCUCGAGAAUUAAACGGCUUCGAAAUCGGAGAUACCUACGGAAGAUCCUUGGAGGGCAAUCACAGGAACCGGGAAGCCACAUGGGAACUGGAGAGGCAAGCAAGAGCAUUAUCCAUCUAUCUCAAUGGAGGCUUGAAAGUAAGUAGUUACAAUUUCGGCCGGGCAACUCAAACUGCUUGUUAGGAAGGGUGAAUGUAAUACACUGACCUAGCAAUUGCGGAGUCGGCGAGAUGGGAAUGAGUUGGGAACAUCUAAUGUUCUAAAGACUUAACAAGUUUUGGACGAAGUGUUGAAGUGAUGGAGGCUAAAACAGGAAAGUGCCAUGAUUGGGCGAAAUAGACCUUUCUGCUUGUGACACGCGGUACAAGCCAUUAGGUGUAACCGAUACACAAGGAACAACGCACACGGCUAUUUGCAUUUUCACACUUUUGAUCGUCAUCAUUUCAUUCCAGCACGACUCCUGGGCUCGUGGAGGUUGCUGGAGACCAGAGACGAAACUUGCACCAUUCUCCGUCUUCUCUCUCUAGGGUUUCUCUCUCUAGAGAAAAAGUCGCCAGUUUCGCCCGAUUUCGCGCGCCCUCGUCGCAUCGCUGGUUCGGUGGGCUUGGGCCCAGCUUUAAAAGGUAAAGGCGAGGUGUUUUACAGUGUUUUUCAUGUUUACUGAGAUUGCCUGAAUCGAGACACUUUAGAAAGUAUGUUAGUCAAUUUGCUCUCAGUUUGCGGUUUAUCGUCGAAUUUGACGUGUUCUUAUCUUGUCCAAGAGAGUUGUCCUGGGUUCCGGCAGCUAAAAGGGAGAUAUCUAGCUGUGACUUUAACACAACUUGGAUCCAGGGGAAAAAUUGCCUUGAGGCUUGAGACAGGUAUGUUAGUCACUAUUAAACUAUUUCGGCACCCUUAGGCGACCUAAUCGAAAUACUUGACGCAGUUUGAGUCGUUCUUUCGCAGCAGGUUUCCCCAAGUAUCAUAUUAACUAAAUAUGAGGACCUGGGCGACUGUUGGAGGGUAUUCUAAACUAAGGUUAAGCAGAACUUCAGUUAGAAAACUGAAAUUGGCAAGUUUCCGGCAAUAUUUAUUGGUAGUCAACGAUUUGACGCCGUUUUGAUCAUGUCGCAGCGAGAAGGGUAAUUGACCCUUGGAUCAUCUUCGACUGGCAUCGAAGGGCUUUUGGCAGCUUCUCUUGAGAAAACACAUAACCCAGAAUAGGGAUUCAAGGGUACUUUGUAGCUAAGUGUAAAUUAGGCCGAAAUCGGACAUUCGGUCGUUAUUUCGACUCGGCUUUGAUGCCUUAUUUUCAGCAGAGUGUGACUUCGUGGGCUGAUUUUGGGACGUCUUGUGAUCGUUGGAGCGCUAGUACUGAGUGGGCUCGGACCUAAACCAGAGCAAGUGAAACCCUCAUUUCCUAUAGUAAUUAUAGAAAUGUUAAUUGUGUGUUAUGCGAUUGUUAAUAGGCUCGGGAUACGUACAUCACGACGUUUAGAUCAUAUAGUGAAUGACGUUUAUGCAUAAAAGUACUAUGCAUUCAGUAUUUUGAUGUCAGUGAAGCAACUAGAAUUCAUUUAUUAUGUUUCCUCAUGAUAUAGAGAACAUAUAUACGAUGAAGAUAUUCACAGUUAUAUUCAAUCAGACUUGAAUGUCUCGUUUGAACAAGUGAGGAUACACUUUAAAGUAGAGCAACAAUGACAUUCUCUUGACUGCGAACGUAGAAAGAACUCUGACAUGCUCUGGACUAUGUUGAUAAGUGCCCUCUAACUAGUGAAAAGAUUAUAAUUGCUCUAUGUGAAUUUUAGCUUACCUUACGAUUUUACAAUCUAGUGAUACUAGCUCUUGUUACUAUGGGUAUUGAAAUUCCGAUCAGGAUCGGGAAAACUUUGCAAUGAAAUUAUGAAAUUGUUGGAUAUGUGGAUAUUGGAUAUGUUUGCUUGCCAUCGGCCAUUCGCGACGCUGUGAGGGGUAGCUCCUACAACCGGACUCCUGGAGUUAGCCUAUGCGACAGUUGUCCAGCCCGUGCGGGAUGGUUGGUCCGAAGGGAUGCCGGGGGAGUGUAUACUACCACGGGCCUAUAGGCGCGGCGCAAGCUGCGACUACCUUGGGUAGGUCCCUGGAAUGAAAAUGAGAGGGUACAAAUGAAAAAGACAGUAAGAAUGUUUAUCUUAAAGUGUACAGUAGUCACUUUUAAUAUCGGGCUUAUACUCAAUGUCAGUCAUGAUUCACAGAAGUUGCUAUAUCUCUUUAUGCAAAUGAGUUCAUUACUGUAUGAAAGCUAUUACAUGUUUGAUUACAAUGCUUCAUUACUUAUUAGCAGGCAUGCUUAUAAAUCACUUGCAUAUAUUCGUUAUGCUUUCAUUUAGUACAUCUUGAGCCUACGAUGGUGUAAUCGCGGAGGCUGGCGCGUUACCCACUGGAACUAUGAAUAGUUCCACAGCCUUUUAGUGUUGUUAUCAGAGCCGUUACAGGAGAGGCUAGGAUCGUGGCAAUGGAGUCGCGCCUAGCUUAGGGCUACUAGUGAGCGUGCUAGUCGAUCACCUUGCUACUCGGGUACGCCGAGGGGUGAUUCCUCAAUGUAUAGAGAGACACCGCCGGUUACCUAUUCUUUUGUAUACCCAUAUGUAAUUUACUUUUAGGGAUUGAGAUUAGUGUGUACUUUCUCCUUUUGUUGAGAUCUGGUAGAUGUUGUAUACCUUUGUAUUUGUGACUGAAAUUGAUACUCGUUGGGAUUAUCACUGUACCUUUGGCUGCUGAUUAUCAGGAUAGGACUUCUUGUUUUACUUCCUAUCUACGUGCUCUGUAGACGCUUAAUAUCGGCAGGGUGUAUGGCGGCGGGUCUGUGCACGUUCGGCAUGAUGGUACUCGGCUGGAUCGGGCGUGACAGGGCCGUGAGAACUAUAAUUAAUAGGUUCCAGUGGGGCAAUACUAACCUCAAGCUCAAUGCCACACUGCCCCAAAGAAGAGGUACAGUACAUAUAAUAGCAAUAAUGACUGCGAUAUAAAGGCAUAAUUAAAGAUGCUAAUUAGCUAAACUCAAGAACAACGAUGCUCAUGUGAUGAACAUCUACGAUACGAAAAAAGUAGGUCAUUAACGCUUCAAUGAAUACAUUAGCUAUAAGUUCCGUCAUGGACAACAAGUAGCUUUAUGGCAAAAUGGGAGACUAUCAAGUAUACUACAUGUCUCAAACUAGAGCUAAAAGCAUAAUAAAUGAAUUCAACUACUAAAACCUAUCUAGUAAGGGAUUAACCAUUCGACACAGCGCGGUCGAUUUCAUUCCAAUUAAGGAUAUCAAGGAUAGUCUAGCUUGGUGACCGCCUAAGAGCUGUUGCUGGAGCCCAACAUCCACGCUUGAUGUGUCUGUUCCACUCGACCCCGUAGGCUUCUCAAUACCGCCAGACGAACAUAAGAUCGCGCUAGGCUAACUCCGAAUGCGGCUUGGUAGGAGCGGAUCUCGCACAACCAUCGCUGCGAAUGAGCACAAAUAGCAAGCAGCGAUGCCAAGUCUCAAGUGUCCAAUCCUGCAUGUCUCUAACAUGGUAUGAUAACUAGCAUCCCGAUGAUUAUUAUGAUCCAAAGAGAAGUUCCAACAUUCUUACACGCCUUUACGUGCCCGCUUGGACAUUAACAACAAAUGUUGCAACAUAUACCCAAUCCCUCAAUGGCUCUAACCCACUUAGGUCACACAUGUCCGAGCUCAACUGCCGCUUGUAUGACAUUAGCUCUCAAAUACACAUACAUUCUAGUUCGAUAGCUCUAUAAGUGGCAAUUUGGUCAACUUCAUGUCUCAAAGAAACUAGGUUUAAAUGCAUAAAUCCAAUUCAUUUACACAUGAGCAUGGAACAGUCUCAUAUAGAAUGCUAGAGCACAACUAUAGGCCUUACCAAGUACUCUCAACUACAAGAGUCCAACAAUUUCUCAUCAUAUAUACAUAGGCCUUUAAGCAUUCUAAAAUUCACAAUAAAAUACAUAAACAAGAAUAUGCAUGCUUUCAUUUAACAAUACUUAAUAAGCACAAAUGAGCAAUGGCUGCCAUUGUGUGGCUAGGUCAAAACCGCACCGAACGCGCCGUAGGGCCUCCGUUUCGCCGAACAGAUGUCGCCGAGCUCAAAAACUCUAAAAGUACCUGAGCGACAAGCAACACUGGGAUUACGAUCAAUUCAUAUAAGCUGUCAAAUUUAAACAAAACUUAACAAAAGGGCUCACAACUCACCCAAUGGUGAAAAUCUCUUUCAACCCAAAAGAGAGCUGAAAUCCCUUCUAAUCCAACCAAGGAAGGUUUAAUCCACCAAUUUGUUCACAAAGCCGCUGAUCAAAAGCCCCAAAACGAACCCUAAACUCAUUCUAGCGGUUCCAAGACAAUAAAACCUCAAAUCCAAGGCUCUAGAUGGAGGAGAAAGGGCUACCAACCUCUAAGAAGCUCCAAUCCAAGCUCCAAGGGUGAAGUUCUCCUCUUUGGCAAGCUCCAAGUCCAAGCCUCAUGCACCAAGGGAGAAGAGAGGGUGAGGAAGAUGCUCCAAGUCCACUAGUAGCUCUCAAACUUCUUCUUCUUCAUUCAUUCUUCUCCUUCUCCUUCUCCUUCUUCUUCUUCUUCUUCUCUAUCUAGGGUGUAGAGAGAGUUGAGAGGAGAGAAAUGAGGAGAGGAGAGAGGGGAUGGGUCAUAUAGACCAUCUAUUGUAACAAAAUCCAGCUAGGUCCUCCAAAAAUCCAAAAUUGCAUCAGCCCGGUCUGGGCAAUUUUUGCCCAGAGGGACCGGUCUCUCCCCAGCAGGGACCGGUCUCUCGCUGCGAACCCGAAAAACCAACGCUCGGGAACCGGUCUCUUCCUGUGUGGGACCGGUCUCUCUCUGCGAAGGCGCGCACGAGGACCGGUCUCGCCCGCCAGGGACCGGUUGCCUUAGGGCUGCCGCAACACUGUUCACUGGGGGACCGGUCUCUCCUAUCAGGGACCGGUCCCUGAGAGCAAAAACUCUCAGGACUUGUCCAGAAUUCCAGUUUUCGAACUUUUUAGGUCGGAAAACAUUCUACAACCCUCCACCAAGUGCGGAAAAGCUCGAAAUAUAUCCAAACACUCGAACCUCGCACUUUGCAAAGGCCCAGUGUGUUACAUGUAACCUCCUCCACAAUAUAUGAGUAACCUCCUUCACAAUAAGUGUGAGAAGUUCUCCUUUAGUUGUAUAAGUUUCUCAAUCGGACAUUAAUGAAGUGUGUGAGCUUCCAAUUUCUUUACGAGCAUCCGUGGGCCUUUGAUCCGGAGGACGAGAAAGAAUUGCUAAAGAAGGAGGAUGAUUCCGUUUGACAUAGUAGAUCGCUCAAAUGCGUACAUGAUCAGCUGAAGGACUUUUCUUGCUUUACUUCUUCCGGCCCUUCUUUUUCACUUUUCAAGUUGAAUGUUAAGAGGAAACAGAACAAUAGAAGAACUAGAAAAUUGACCCCCUAACACAUUCAUCCAUUCUUUCACCUCGUUCAAGGAGUCAAUAUAUUGACGCAAUAUGUUUUUUGGAGUAAUGUCUUCGAAAUAGUAACAAUGAAUUUGUAAUGCAUAAAUAGUUUGCUCUCUUUCUUUCUUCCUUUUACGUUUUUCUUUUUGUUUGUCUUCCUAUUUUUACGUAGUCUUGUUACUUGUUACCGUAUUUUUGUAGCUAAGUUUAUAUUCUUAUUGAAUGAAGCGGUAGCAUGCUAUUUUUUUUCUCGAAGAAAAAAAAAUUUGUAGCACAUAAAUUGGGAGUAUUCAACAACAUUUUUCAUUUCAUAUUUGUGGGGGAGUUUUCACUUUUUAUCUUUACUAUAUACGGCCUCUAAACUUUGGGUUUUGAAUAUUGUUAUAGACUAUCGUUAAUUCUGCUAUUUUCUUCGCCAUAAGUGUAAUUAUAUAUGGUCUUUAUGUCUAAGCGCUUUCAUAUUUUGCAUUAGAGAUGGAUUAAGGAACAUGACCCUACAGUGCAGUUUUUCUCCAGCGGGUAUGAUAGGUUGGUCUUCUUAGGGUGUUUGACUACUGGCUUAGAUUGUCCAGUCUUUAAGUAAGUAGAGAACGAUGGUCUAACUAACAUUCCUGUACGAGUGUAUAUAUAUAUAUGCAGUCUAACCUUUUGUUCCCUGUGUUUGCGCUUAGAGAAAUUAAAUUUUGACCAAGGAGAGCAACUUUUUCUUCAAAAUAGGAGAGCCAUACAGGCUCUCGAAAAAUGUUACGAUAUGAUGAAUUGAUUUGUGGGAAAAUUAUAUCGAACUCUUGAACUUUGGUCCAAUUACAAUCACUAGCAAACUUUUAAANCCAACUCUAUUGAAUUGUUAUUCAGUUUUUGAUGAUUUGUUAUUCAGUUUUGAAUGUAACAAACAUAGUCAUCACACCUGUAUAUAUGUACCAUAAACUAUGAAUGAAAAUCAGUGUGGAGAUUUAUCUCUAAUCCUUCUUAACAUGGUAUCAGAGCCAUAUCCACAUCUCUAACCUAUUAAGAGUGCCUAGUAUUGUUUCAUCACACCCAGAUUUCAUUUUCUCUCUACUACAAUAUGAGCUCUUCACCUCAAACUCCCAACACUUCCACUACGACUGAUCUCACUUCCUUGAUAGCCUCCCUUCUAACAUUAACAAAUCUAAUCUCUAUCAAACAUACUGAUAAGAAUUAUUUGCUAUGGAAGAGUCAAUUUCUUCCUUUGCUAAAUGGUUAUCAGCUACUCGGCUAUGUUGAUGGGACUAUGAAAUGUCCUUCAAUUCUUCUACCAUCCUCUACUGAUAGUACUCCAAUAUCCAAUCCAGAUUUUAUUAAAUGGAAGCAGAUCGAUCAAUUGCUAAUCUCGUGGAUCCGAUCAACAAUUUCUGAAGAAAUACUACCACAUGUGGUAGGAUUAACUACAUCCAAGGAAGUUUGGGAUACACUUGCUGAUCAUUUUACCCAGCAAUCCAAAUCUCGAGAAUUUCAUCUUCGCCAUCAAAUUCAAUAUUUGAAGAAAGGUAGUAUGUCUAUGUCUUCCUACAUUAAACAAUUUAAAAGUCUCUGUGAUGAACUUGAAGCAAUCCAACAACCACUGUUUGAUGAUGACAAAGUCUAUUGGAUUCUUCGAGGAUUAGAUCGACAAUAUGCAUCGCUUGUCACUAUGAUCACCUCUCAUGACCCUUAUCCAAAGUUUAAGGAUUUAUGCUGUACUUUUUUGGAUCAAGAAUUAUUUUUAAAGUCCUAUGAUGAAGAUAUAUCAGAGACAAAGGCCACUGCAUAUAAUAUCAUGAAAACUAAUCAUGCACAUGGGCGAGGAUCUACUCGUGGCAGAUCUACAAAUUAUGGGAUGCGAGGACGUCGCUCAAAUAAUCGAGGUCGCGGCAACCAAACACAACAAUUGAGAUCUUCGACUGAUGCAAACAUUCCACGCCCUCAAUGUCAAAUUUGUCAUAAAUAUGGUCAUACUGCACUUAAUUGUUGGCAUCGUUUUGAUGAUUCCUUUCAUGAGCAAAGACAAUCUCCCGAUGCACCACAUCAAGCGCUAGCAGCACUCCAAAUUCAAAAUCCGACAGAUGAUGCAUGGUAUCCAGACACUGGGGCCACUAUUCAUGUCACAAAUUCCGCAUGUAUGCUUCAAUCUUUGCAACUUUAUUAUGGUAAUGAUACUGUUUUUGUUGGGGAUCGUCGACAAUUAAAAAUUACCCACAUUGGCCAUUCUCAACUUCUAACCUCUUCUACACCUUUACACCUCAAAAAUAUUUAUCUAGUACCAUCUAUUAAAAAGAACCGUCUAUCUGUUAGCAAGUUUACUCGCGAAAAUAAUUGUUCUCUUGAGUUCACCCCCUCUGCUUGUUUUGUUAAGGAUCAGGAAAACAAAAUGACUCUGCUACAGGGAUCUCAUCAUAAUGGUCUUUAUUCUCUCAAUUCUCCAAAAGCUAUUUUUCUUUCUACAAAGAGGGCUUCUCCAAAAAUUUGGCAUCAACGACUGGGCCAUCCUUCACAACAAGUGGCAAAUCAUUUAAACAAGAAUGCUGCAAUAAAAUUCUCUAGUAUGUUCGAUUCCAAAUCUUUAUGUGAUAGUUGCUAUUCUAGUAAGCAAACUAAGUUGCCUUUUCCAGUUUUAAAUAAAAGGGCCUUUGUUCCUCUUGAAAUUAUUUCUUCUGAUGUUUGGGGUCCAUCUCCUGUUCCUUCAAUCACUGGCUAUCGAUUUUAUGUAAUUUUCAUUGAUAGCUACAGUAGAUUUGUUUGGUUUUAUCUUAUGCAUAAUAAGUCUGAAGUUUUUUCAUGCUUUCUUAAAUUUCAAAAAAUGGUAGAAAAUCAAUUUAACACCAAAAUUAAAAUUUUGCAAAGUGAUGGUGGUGGCGAGUAUAUUUCUAAAACAUUUGUUACAUACCUUGAAAAUAGCGGAAUUAUUCGCCAACUCUCAUGCCCCCAUACGCCUGAACAAAACGGUGUUUCCGAAAGAAAACAUCGCCAUAUAACUGAAAUGGGUUUGACACUUCUAUAUCAGUCCCAAGCGCCAUCUACUUUAUGGGUUGAUGCCUUUUUAACAAGUGUGUAUCUAAUAAAUCGAUUACCUACACCUUGCUUACAAAACCUAUCCCCUCUUGAAACUCUAUUUUGUUCUUCUCCAAAUUAUCAUCACCUACGUGUUUUUGGAUGUGCUUGCUAUCCUUAUUUACGCAGCUAUUCUUUGAAUAAAUUUACUCCGAGGUCUACUUGUUGUGUUUUCAUAGGAUAUAGUCCUCAUCAUAAAGGUUAUAGAUGCUUAAGUUUAUCCGAUGGACGCAUCUUUAUAUCCCGUCAUGUUCAUUUUGAUGAGUCACGAUUUCCCUAUGCAGAGUUGUCUUCCAAAUCCAUUUCUACAUCACUUGAUUCCAUUCCCAAACAACAGAGGUACUCAUUUCCUAUUUGUCCACCAUCUCUAUUAACUUCUUCUCCACAAAACAUUCAACCAUCCGAUACUAUUCUUGAUUCUAUAAGCCUUCCCCAAUCCAAUCUACCAGAGCCCACAAGUUUAGAUGUUGAAUCUGUCCCUUCUACAAAUCCUGUUGACACCUCCACAAGAACAUGUCAUCCCAUGAUAACAUGCAGCAAAGAUGGUACACGCAAACCAAAGGUUUUUCAUACCUCUCGACACCCAGUGCCCCAAUAUUGCUUGCAAAUUACUAAUGAUGAGCUUCCUUCUGAACCUACAUCAUAUUCUGAAGCCUCUAAAGAUCCUCAAUGGCGCCAUGCUAUGGCAGAAGAAUUCAAUGCUUUACUCAAGAAUCAGACAUGGUCACUUGUUUCUCCACCGUCAAAUUGCAAUAUUAUUAGUUGCAAGUGGGUGUAUAAGGUUAAACAAAAAUCUGAUGGCAAUGUUGAACGCUUCAAAGCUCGUUUGGUUGCUAAAGGAUUUCAUCAACAAGAAGGACUUGAUUACGAUGAUACAUUUAGUCUAGUAGUUAAACCGCAAACUAUUCGUAUCGUCCUUUCGCUUGUACUCUCCAAAGAAUGGCCAAUUAUGCAAUUAGAUGUUAAAAAUGCCUUUUUGCAUGGCACAUUAAAUGAGGAGGUAUAUAUGUUACAACCUCCAGGAUUUGUUGAUCCCUUAUACCCUUCACACGUAUGUCGGUUGCGCAAAGCAAUAUAUGGUCUUAAGCAAGCUCCACGAGCUUGGUUUCUGUAAGGACUGAGAUUUUUACAGUGCAACUAAACUCUCUGUUGAUGAUGUUUAUGUGUGUAAUUUAAUUACAUAAGUACUCAUCAAGUUUCAGGAGAAAAUGAGCUAAAAUGGAGAAGUUACGCGAUUAUUAGUUUUCACUUAAGUGAAUAGUAACUCCGGUUUUUCGGUGAAGCCACGGAGUAGAGUUGGCUUUCUACGCGUAUCGGACUCCCUUCAUAGCGAUCCAAUAGCUCGUUUUGAUCGAUUCAGCUAUUCUGGAACCAAUGGCACUGACGGAUUUCAGAUCUGAUGCACGAUUUUUGAGAAAAAGGGAUUUUAUCGAAAAGAGGAUUUUCGCUCUUUGCUGUUCUUGCGUAAUGAGACUCCUCGUGCUCUACGUUUGUGACCUGGGGUUAGGUGAGAGUUGCUUCUGGUACCUACUGGUGGUAGGGAAUUCAAAUUUGAAUUUGGAUUAAAGGUUUUAGGGUUAUUACAUAGGUCUAUGUGUAAUUUGUGGAUUAGUUGGAGAGCAGUUGGGUUUGGUCGCAAAUCGGCAAGUAAAUCGGAUGAAACGAAAUCGAGUUUCCCAUUGCUCUUCGUCGUGCUGAACCGCGAUGGUGCAUAAUCCGUUCUGGAAAAUCCGAUGAAACGAUUGCGGAUAUUGCUGAAGUUGCUAAGGGGUCGAGAGUGGAAAAUCUGGGAAAAUUUCGCAAAAGUCGUAAUUUUAUGUGCCGGAAUUGCGUGAUUGAUGCGCAGCAUGGGGAGGUCGUAUUUAAAAUACGCUAUGCUGUGAGGGACUUGAUGAGAAAAUAUAUCCUCGGGAGAGCUAUCUUGCAAAUGGCAUGAAUGUAAAUAGUAGUUGGCACUAGCGGUUUCGUAGGAAACCUAGCUUUUGGCCUUCUCCUCAGUCGAUACGCGAGCCCUAGCCGCCAUCCUUCUCCCUUGCCGGCACCCGUGCGCACGCCCCGGCUGUAGCCGCGAGCUGCCGCGCGCCGGAAGCGUCCACCGCGACCUCUCUCUUGCUCGUCUCGGCCACCCUAAGUUCCUCUGUACUAUCACCGAAGUUGCGAAGUGAACUUUCUUCACUCCGAGCUUUCAUCCAUUCCCACUGGCCGAAGACCCAUCUCUGGCAUCUUCCCGCGCCGACUCGCGGCAUCCCGUGCCCUGCCGGAGCCUCUCCGCGAGCCUUCCUGCGGCCAUCUGCGGUCAGCCCAGGCCGAGCUUGGGUGGAACCUCGGUCUAGUGCGGCCAGCCGUCGCUUCCCAUCGGCCCUCUUUUUUUCUUGCGCCACCUUUCCAGUGACACCUCGCAACCUCAUCCGCUUGCCGUCCCGCCGUCUGGCACGCCUGCCUUGGCCGCCGCUGGAACCUUGCCUGCGCCCUGCCCAGAACCCUGUGCGGUAGCCAUGUUGUGUGCUCCGCGUUCGGCUCCCAGCACUCUUGCACUGUUUGGCUUUGCCUAUUUACACCGAGGGGUGCAACCAUCUUCCCUCCGGUCUCUCUCACCCCAUCCGAUCCAUCGCCGCCUCGCCUUCCUCCCGCCGGCCCGCCCCGUUUCCGCCGCCUUUGUCGCCGUUCGGAGAGCUCGACCGCGAGAGUGUAACCGGGCGGUUGGGCUGCGCCGCCUGCGCAGUAGCCUGGCACCUCCUCCCGCCGGCCACAGGUCCCCGCCGAACCCCACCGACGCCGCACCCUUCCCUGGCCGGGACCGCCCGCCUCACUCGGUCGCCUUGCGUUACCAACCCUAGGCCCUCCUCAGGAUCCGGUAAGGCCUGUUUUGAUGUUCUCGAGCACAGUAUUUACCUUUCCGGCCACCUUUGCUGAAUCCAAUUAAUUCCCCGAACACCCAGCUGGGAAGUGAGCACCUGAUGAUCUAAAACGGGUCGUGCUGAACAUCGUGGCUCAUCUCGUCCGACAAACCGGCAUGAUGCCUGGUUUAGACGAGUUAAUCGGGCGCUAAUCUUGCGGCUGUGCUGCGCAUCUCGCAGAGCUUCGGCAUUGUUUUCGGCCGCUCCGCUCCUGUGGCUGAAUUGGUCCGAUAAGGUGAGCACGUUUCCAGAACGCCGUGACCUGUCAGCGGUGUCUCUGUUCGGCUGUUUCAGCUGUCUGUUUGUGCAGACCGGACUAAAAUAGCGCGCGAAAUCUUGCAUGGAAAUAUUCGAUUUCGGGUAUUCGGUACGGCUUUUAUGGCAAACUUCUUGUUCGUCCGCGGCUGCUGUUUGCACAAGAAUGGAUGGCAGUUUUGAGUGACGUCUUGGACUGAUUGUUCCAGGCCCCUUGGACCUUUGGAAGAUCGAAAAGGCAUUCCAGUUGCGUUGUCGGCAAAUAUGCCUGAUCGGACCGUUCGUUCGGAAUCAUUUCCGACGGUGUCUCGGGAUGAUUUAUUGUGUCGCUGAGCCUAGUUGGUGGUCACCUGUUGUCAUGGUUCGGGUUCGAUAAUGACGGUUGAGCGAACUGGGUUUCGGUGUCGAUAAUGACACUUCCGGGGAACUCCGUUCGGAACGAUUAUUUCGACUGAUAAUCGUAUUUGAGAGUGAGUUAAGUGUCUUGCUGCCAUGUCACCUGUAAAUUGUAAUUUAGUGCAGGCUGGUGACUCUGAGUGCGAGUCGGGUGCAGGUUCCUUGGGACAUGUUCGUUGGGUCCCGAAGAGUCUCUCGUGCGGUUUCGGAAUCUCUGGUUGUUUGCGCUAUUGGUUCGGGAAACGCGAUUCCCGAGGGGUCUAUGCAUUUGGAAUUGUGAUUAACUGAUACGGUUGGAGGGUUGUGGAUUUAGUGGAUAUUAGUUGUGGGUUACAUACUAACCCGUGGAGUCCUGUAAGUCGGCGGUUGUCCCAUUCUUCGCAUUAGACAGGCCGCGACUAUCCUUACAGGUGGUACUUCGUCGUAUCCGACGUUGGUAAACAUGUUAGCUAUCUUGUUGGUGCACCGCUCGGUGAUAGAGUUUCUUACCCUUGCUCUUUGUUUAUUUCAAUUGCUUAUUAUUAUAUUGUUGAGUUCUUUGCACCUUACUAUUGUUAUAACAUUACACCACAACGUUUGUGUUGCAUUACUACUCUACUCAAGUUCUUCCAUGCUUAGUAAUCUGUAUGUUGUAGGUAUAGUCUAUUCUGAUAUGUGAUACCAUAAGUUUCUCUUGUGCUUCUAAGCCUUAGCUUAUUCGCAGUACCUCGCGUUUUCAUUAAUUUAUAGUUAGUAUUGCGAGUUCUGUGGAUUAUUCUGUGAUGAUUACGUCUAUUAGGUCGAUUCUUAUGUAUGUUCAGUAUUUGUGACUCAUUCGGUGAGUUCCUCUGACCUUGUUGUCCUGAUUACCGUUGAGUCGAUAAAUAUCCCUGAGGGGCUGGAUUGUCCGUUAGUUGCCGACGAUGAUAUAUAUUUACUCCAUUCCUAUAUUCUUUGUGACACUGAUUCGGUCGAGGGUUUCAUAUCUAUACUUGUGAGCGCUGAGUUGUGGUCGAGUUCGAUAUUUCUAUUACUUUGUGACGCUUGAUGGUCGUAGUUUACAUAUUCGAUGUUGAUUCUGGAGUGGGUCAGUCCUUGUGGUUCCAUGAGCAGAUAUUUGCAUAAUGUUGAAGAGGAUGUUCGAUGUUGUCCCCAUCCUAUUGACGCUGAGUGGUUUCUUUCUUUGUGCUUCCUUUACAGUUGCACGACCUAUUGCGGUCGAGUGGUCCCUUGUGGGCAGGAUUGUCGGCUGGUGCCGACGUUGAUCAUUGUAUGGCAUUUAUUGCAUUGAUCGCGUCCGAUACGUCGGCUAUUUUCAUCNNNNNNNNNNNNNNNNNNNNNNNNNNNNNNNNNNNNNNNNNNNNNNNNNNNNNNNNNNNNNNNNNNNNNNNNNNNNNNNNNNNNNNNNNNNNNNNNNNNNCCCUAAACCCAUUUGUUAUCUCCAAAUGCUAUUGAAAUUGUUUAGAUGACAGACCGUUCCUAGAGUAAGUGGCAAAGGGUUUGGUGGUUGGUAUAUGAGACCCAUGUUCAAAUCCUAGUUGAUUCACAUUUCUAGCUCAUUUUAUUUCUAAAUGAAAUAAACGAAAUAGGUAGCGUACUACCUAUCUCUCAAAAUAGAAAUUGUUUAGGUGACAAAUGUAAUAAAAAAAGAGAUUGAAGAAUCACUCUUGCACAAUUGAAAAGUGAUUUUGACUGAUAAUGUGAAUGAUAAAUCAGUGGAUGGAUUUUGAGAUUUAGCUUUUAUUCUUUUUAUAUAUUAUGCCCACUCAAAAAUGCAGUGUAAAUCUUAUACUCAUAUAUUCAAAGAUUUACAUAAUACUUUUGAGUUUUUAAUAUCAACAAAGAAAAAAUUGAUAAAAUUAGUGAGAAAAUAUUAGCCCUUGGAUGGAAUAGUGCUAUAAAAUAGGAUACAAUAAACUUCUAAUUAGCCCCCUAUGAAAAAAUCUCAGUAAAUCAUAGGAGGGGUUAAUUGAAGUUUAUGCAAAAUAAAAACUCUAGCACCGUGCAAUGAUUUCAUAGUGUGAGGAGUAUAAUCAAACUUCUAGAAUUGAUAAAAUAUUUAGCCUAGAAAUCAAUUUUUUCACGGAAAGAUAAAUUAUCUCAUAAUAAAAUAUAUUAUUCUGCAAAAUAAUGAACAACAACAAUACCUUCUAAAGAUGAGAGAAAAAAGGAAAAAAAAAAAAAAUCAUAUUGAUGUCCAAACGGGAUAGAGAUACCAAGUGCAAAUAGGUCAAAACCAGAGGACCAAAUUGAAGUUUUCACUCUGCUAUAAAAACCCAGCCCGUUUGAAACCCCCCACCCUGCAGCACCUUCUUCUUGUAUUCCCUCCAAAACUUCUCCCUCCCAGAUUCCCUGCUCCAGCGUCCAACCCCCAAAAUCAAUCAAGAANAUCGAGUCGGCUGGCGAUCUACUGCUUAUAAGCAGGCACCGAGAGCUCACCGCAGGGCGCAUCUUGGUCCAUCGUCUGCCACCGUUCGAAGGGGACGGUCCGCUCGUACCGACUCCCCUGGCCAGCAUUGGCGAUCGUGCCUUGUUCUUGGGCACGGGGAAUACCGUCGCAGUCCACGCGCCUGACUUCCCGCUGUCCGUCAGAAGAAACAGCAUCUACUUCACCGACGUAUAUCGCAGGGUGGUAAACAAUCAGUUUGUUUCCGUCGGCUGCGUCUAUGUUUUUGACAUGGAGCAGGGCGUCACGACGAAGGCGUUCGAAGUGGCGGAAACGGACGAGACGAACAUGUGGGUGAAUCUGAGGCCGUGGUGGGUUACGCCGAAUUUGCGCAGGAGAGGUCCAUGAGCACCGAGAGGUUCGAUCUCGUACCGCACUUUCAUUCUCCCUUGGUGCACAUUCUGAGUUUCAAAUACAAUUGCAGUCUCAUUGCGGAUACAAUCGAAGGAUCCGGAUCAUUUAUUUGCCCCCCUUACAUGUUCUUCUCAGCGAAAAGUUGAGAACUAAGGAUGCAAUUGAUCAAGCCUUAAAUCUGGAUAUUAGGAAUUGCUCAAAAUAAAAGCACCGAAUUUCGCAAUUUAAUUUCACUUCGCUUAUUGAAGUUAUUAUGAUCCAGUUUCAUAGUUUGAACACUUUUAACUUUUGAUCGGGCAGUUUUGAAGAAUCUACUCCCUUUCAUAUUUGAAGAGCAGUUCUUGAAUAGUAAAGAUUUUGCUCAAAUAAUCUUUAAUAUUUCAGUAUCAAGUUAUCUCGAAAAUUAAAAUGAGUUGUCCACGAUUUAUUGUGAUAUCAUGAUAAAAGUAGUUGCAUUUCAUGAUCCAGGUUAAUUGAGGAAUGGAAGGAAGAACCGAAAGCGGCAAUUCGACCAUUAUAACCGUCCUUAGUUCCCCGGCUUCCAAGCCAUCUAUACAAAUUUCAAUGUUUUCUGUACAUAGGAAGAUGAUGGCGUGCAUCAUAUAUAGUCCUGCAGGAGUUUGGAACUUCAUCCAUACAUUGUAUCAUAUCUGAUGCAAAAUUUUAGCACCAUUUUGUUUUGAACUUGUGCAUACCAUUUAGGAGCAUCUGCUGAGUGCGCACACAACUAUCAGAAACUGAUGAGACGUGCGAUAAAGAAAUUGUCUUACUGUGUGAAGAACAGCAUGAUGAUCCGUCUGAAGCAUUCUCCUCUGUAAACAGGAAACUGCAUGUUUACAUCUUUUUCUUCUUUUUCUUUUUCUUUUUUCCUUUCUUUGUGGGGUCUUAUAUUGUUAUUAGAUCAAGCAUCAACAAUUGAGUUACUUCCCUCAAAAGAAAAAAAAAAAAAACAAUUGAGUUACUAUACUUAUGUUUUUUACUCUCCAAUUUGAUUCUGCAAUAAAGGCAUAGUGACUUUUGUGACCAGGAUUGAGGAAAGGGUUUAUUAUAAUGAUCCCUAGUUGAAUCCAAUUUCUAUGGCCAUACUCCUUUAUUAAGGACCUAUUAGCCCCGCUAGGUGGGAGGAAUUUUAUACUAUCAUACUUGCACCACGUCAUUAAUAACAAGUCAAUUAUAUUUCUUUUUUUCAAACAAAAGUAUAAUAAAAAUAUUUUUUUAAAUCAUAAUGGGACAUAUACUCUUAAAAGGAGACAUUUGAUUGAUUUGUUACGCCAAGUCACCAAUAUACCUGAUACAUUCUAAAAUUUUUUGCUAGGUAGAGGGUGGAGUUUACUGUUUGAUGCUAAUAAUAGUUUAUUGCGGCAACUCUAGUUCCCGUCCAAAUUCAAAAAUCCUUAACCCAAAGAUAGAAAUUUUCCCAACAAAGUAAGACCCAAGAAGGAGUAUUAUAUCGGUAAAUAAACCACAUAAGUUGAUCAAAAUAUGUUAAACACUGCAUUUAACUUCGUUCCCUUAAUCUCCAAAAUUAGAUAUCAGCAUCUAAUUGCGCAUAGAUCUACUUCCGCAGGAACUACAUAACGAGAUGAUCGCGAUUAAAAAGAAACACGCUCGAAUCGAGUAAUCGAACCAAUCACCUGCACGAACAGCUCGAUCCCCCCUCGCCGCCCCCGGCAUCGUCUUCCUCCCGGCGACGGCGACGGCGAUGGCGGGGUAACGGGGGGCAUAAGGAGAAGGACGACGGCGACGAGGAGGAGGGGGACAAGAUUUUUAGUUUUUAAUUCCCCAAAUCCGAAAUCAAUUUAUUUACUAAAAUCAAACUGAAUCAGUCCAAGUGAGUUGCUUUUUCAGUUUGAUUUUCACGAAACAUGUGGUUUAAAUGGAAAUAUAGACUUAUGUUGCCGCGCAAUUUUGAUUUAAAUAAUUUGAUUAAUUUUUCAAUAUAAAAUUUAGAAUAAUUAUUUACUUAAUAAAUUUAUAUCUGUGUAAUUAAAAAAAUAUUUAAAUUUUUAAAGCUAAAGAGUUAUUAGUUGAUUCAAAUCAAAUAAAUUAAAAGAUUAUAUAGCAAAAUUAAAAUUUUUAAAGAUUAGAUAAUCAGAUUAAAAUAAGUGACAGUUGAGGUAAGUUGUAUAAAUUUUUACUUUUUUAUUCGGAAAAUCUGAAAAAUUAGAAGAGGUAUUUAUUUCAAAAUAUGUUAAAUUUUUUGAUUUAUUGUCUAUUCUUUCUGAUUUGAGUUUCAUGAAAUUUUUGCUAACUAUAUACCCAGUGCUAUGUGCAGUGUGCCUUUUUCUCUUUUCUUUUUUUUUUUUUCAUUCUCCUUCAUUUGCAUUGUGACUGUAUAGUAUCCUACAUUGUAAAUUGAAAUAGAUUCCGGUUACUAAAGAGAAUAAAUAAUAUAAUUAUCUUAUACCAGAACAAACUCUUUACAAAAGAAUUUCACUUUGGCCCCUAAAAUUUAUAAUAUUUUAAUUUUUAAUAUAUCAUAGUUAGAAACUUUUGUGUAAUUUUCAAAAGCUUGAGGGGGCCCAUGACCAUUGUUGGCCUCUCAAUAGCUCUCCCCCGAUUCAGGACUAAGCAAAGCAUCCUAAAAGGACUUUGAUACAAGUAUGCUAGAUUGUUAAACAUAAAAAUAUAACAAAAUCAUUCCGGCUUAAGUUUUUGAAAAAAAUAAUUGUUUCAUAUUAUUUAAUAUGAUAUCAAAUCAAAUAAUUAUGAGUUCGAGUCACACCAGGUUCCUAACUUAAUUGAUUUUUCUCUCAAUUAAUUUAAGUCCGCAUCAAACUUAGACAUAAAGAAGAGUGUUCAAUAUAAAAAUAUAAAACAUCAUUAUCUAUCAGCUUAAAUUUUUAGAGAAAACAGUUAUUUCGCGUUGUUUAACAUAGAUUGAAGCCAAAUGCACAGCUAAACAAGUAGGGUGGGCAAGUCCAUUAAAAAUCUCUAAAUGCUGCAUGUAAGUCCUCUAAAACUUGUAAGUCCAGGAAAGAAGGUGGUUUAGGUAUGUUGGAUGUCGCGACCAUGAACCAAGCCUUUCUAACUAAAUGGUGGUGGAAAUUUCACACGUCACCUCAACUACAGUGGAAUAAGCUUAUCCGAGAAUUGUAUUAUCGUAGAAGAAUACCUCUGAGGGAAGGCAGAUCCUUCAGACCUUUUUCCAGCUGGUGGAAGGGUAUUCUUAGCCUCAACAUUAUCUUCAAAUGGGGAGUGGCGUUUCAACUAGGAAACGGGAAUACCAUCGAUUUUUGGUUGGAUCGGUGGUGCGGCGAGAAAUCGUUGAACCUUUUAUUCCCGGAAGCGUAUCUGAGGUCUGUGGGGGGGGAGAUACUCUAGAGUUAGUGAUUUCUUCACGGGGGAUAAUUGGAACUGGCCCAAGAUCCUGGGAGCAAAUGUGGAACAGUUGCUAGGACUGGUUCCAAACCUAUCGGAGCUUGUAGAAAAGGUCUCUUCUUACUCCGUUGUGGUCAGUCCGGACACGAUCCUAUGGCGGUGGAGUACUGAUGGACACUUUUCGGUCAAAUCAACCUACUUGGCCUUGACGGACGGCGGGACGAGAGAUGCACGUGCCCCUGUUCUAUGGAACCUUAAAAUCCCUCUAAAAGUGAAAGUGUUUUGUUGGUUGAUUCUCAAGAAAAGGAUCCUUACACGUGAUAAGCUUGCUAAGAGAGGGUGGUUAGCCGACCCUACCUGUGUACUAUACGGGUCAGAGGAGGAAACCGUGGACCAUCUAUUUACCAGCUGCGUUUUCUGUAAAUUCAUUAUAGCGAAAUGGGUGGACGAUAUUCAGGCCCAAGACCUCGGGGGGGAAGUCAGCCUCGUGUGGGAUAGGUGGAAGGUCAGGAAGGAUAAACAUAAGAAGCGAUCUCGGCUUGUCGAUCUAGUCGCCUGCUGGUGGAUCAUUUGGAAGAUCAGAAACGACUCAAUCUUUCGUAAUAUUCCCCCGAACCCUGGGAUUGCGGUUCACAGGCUCAAACUUCUUGUGAUGGAUUGGGACCUUCUUCUCGGGCCUUAAACAUCUAUAAGUAAUUGUGUGUGUGUGUAAUUGCGGUUCUUUCUUCUUCUUCUUUUUUUUUUUUUUUUUUUUUUUUUUUUUUUUUUCGAGGCCUGGUUGCCUCACACUUGUAGCUUAAUUCACCUCUCCAAUGAAUGAAGCGGGUAGCAUGCUACCUUUUUCUCAAAAAAAAAAAGUCCUCUAAAACUUGCAAUUUACCAGUAACAAAAAGAGAUGUACCACGUGCACGAGUAUGUAACAGUAAGGAUUGCAGCUGCAGGCGAUUUGAUUAUGAGCAACUACAAACUAUGGCUGGCACACAUUUAUUUAAUUACAUUUUACAUGUUCACUUAUAGAUAGCAUGCUAGAGAGCCAGCUCAGCCACCAUGUGAUCUUUGCUCUCUUUUACAGAGUGCAGGUCUUACGUCUGUUUCCAUUUCAAAAAAAUUAUAUAUAUCUUUUUGGUUGAAAUACAUAAAGUCACCAGCACUAUACUGCCAUAUGAAAUUGCCUCCCCUCAACUUUUUUAUUUUUUCUUUUACAUUUAUUUGUCUUAAUUAGACCCCUAUGUUAAUAACAAGGUUAUUUUAUCUACUGUUUCUGGCGCAAGUGGCAAAGAAUUUAGUGGUUGGUAUCUAAGGUUUCAAAUUUGAAUUCUAAUUGAUUCACAUUUUCAUUCUAAAUAAAAUAAACGAAGCAGUAGAGUAGCAGUCGAGAUGUAUGGCAAUGAUGACAAUAUGAAAAAAUAAAUGAGCUGUUGUCUCUAAUAAUAUAAUGAGAGUGUCGACAGAUACAAAAGAAAGUUAAGUUUUUUCAUUCUGAUUUAUGAUAGCAACGCAGUUUUGAAAAAAGAUUCCAAUGGUCUCUCUAAUUUAUAUAGAUUUGAGAUAAUUAGGUAUAAUAAAAAUUUAUAUAUUUUUCACCGAUGGGAGUCUAACGUAAAAAAAAAAAGAAAAAAGAAAAAAAAUGACAGUACAAAGAGGUGAAAAUUAAGAAAAUAAUUUUUUAUGGCUAUUAAGAAAAUCAAUGCUAAUCAAAAAAGGCAAUUUCGAACUGUGGUGCAGUGCUGAAGCGGUCUCUAUACUUUUUUUUUUCUUUUUUCUGGGGCAAUCAAAAUUUAUACAUAUCAAUUCUUCAAAUAUAAUAGCAUCUUAGAAUAAUAUCGUGGGGUGAAAAUCAUUUUUAUAUUACUCAAUCUAACCAGACUCUAAAGCCGAAGAUUAUAGGAUUUGGAUUGAAAUUUUACUAUCCAUUACCGAAUCAGAUUUAGAUUCAGAUCUGAAAUUUGAAAUUUUUUUGGGUUCAAAUUAAGAUUCACUAUUCUUUUUCCAAUUCAGAUUCAAAAUUAUUCGAAACAAAAACUGAUUUUGACUGCUUUUUUAAUUUCUGAAGUAAUGCCAUUUAAGCAUCUUUCAGAAAUCUCAAACAUCUUCAUUGCGUUUUCUUCAGUUGGAAGAGAAAAUAAUAAUAAUAAUAAUAAUAAUAAUAAUAAGUCCCUCCUUUUCCGCCUCUUCAUUUGAAAAUGGACACGGAAACAACAAAAUCCAAAGAGCAAAUGCGAAACUGAUAAUAUUUUUAUAAUCUGUACAAUAGGAUAAAGAUGAUUGAGGGACUAGCGUGCAAACGGUCAAAGAUUCCCAACGUAGUUACCGGAGCAGCAGCACGAUAAUUGGAGCAAUCACCUACUACCACUACCACUGCAGAGCAUCCCCUUAUUCUCUGCUUCCUUGUAGUUGCUAGGACGUUUGUAUUGACUAUUGAGAAGAAGCACAUAGCUAGCUAGCUGCUUUCGUAAUAGCGAUGGCGGAGGGGAUCGCAUUCGGUUUGGUGAAGGAGGUGCUGGGCAAGCUGGGCUCUGCUCUCGGGGACGAAAUCGACCUGCUGCGGAGCUUCAAGGACGAUGUACAGGAUCUCAAAAGCAACUUUUCGGCGAUCCAAUCGGUGCUUCUCGACGCCGAGGAGCGAAGCAGCGCUGGGAAGGAGAGCCACGCUCUGCGAGACUGGCUGCGCAAACUGAAGGACGCCGCCUACGACGCCGACGACCUGCUGGACGAGAUCCGAACGGAAGCUGAAAAGGUACGUGGAUUUCUGUCCCGCGCUAAUCCGAUGCAUCUGAAGUUUAAGGUCAAGAUGGCACACAGGAUGAAAGAGCUCAGAGAAAAGAUCGGUAAGAUCGCGAAACAGAGGCAUGAUUUUGGUCUUGCCGAAGCUGGCCCUGGUCGGCAGGCUGAGUUCAAGCACCGUGAGACAUUCUCGGUUGUCGACGAAAAGGAAAUAGUUGGGAGAGAUGAUGAUAAAGAGAAAAUUGUGAAGCUACUGCUAGAGACGGCCGGCGAUCACGACGUGUCGGUCAUUCCGAUCGUGGGAUUGGGGGGUUUGGGGAAGACGACGCUCGCUCAAAUGGCCUUCAACGACGGGCGGGUUACGGGUCAGCAGCGCUUUGAUCUACGCGUGUGGGCCUGCGUGUCUACCGAUUUCCACAUGAAGACGAUCGCAAGGUCGGUCAAAUCUGCAACCAAAGAGGAGUGUGAUCUUGACAGCUUGGAAUCCGUCGCGAGUUUUCUCCUCAGGAUCUUUAGCCAGAAGAGAUUCUUGCUGGUGUUGGAUGAUGUGUGGAACGAAGAUAAAGGGAAGUGGAAGGAAUUGAAGGUUGUAUUUAAGGACGGCAGGCAGGGAAGUAAAAUCUUAGUAACCACACGAAGCGAAAAGGUCGCCGCGAUAAUGAAAACAGUCGAACCACACCGUGUGAAAGGCUUAUCAGAUGAUGAUUGUUGGACAUUGUUCAAAAGGCUGGCAUUCGAUGAUGGGGAAGAGAACGACUAUCCGAGUUUGGUCGCAAUCGGAAAGCAGAUAGUAAAGAAGUGCGGCGGCGUGCCUUUAGCAGCGAAUGCUUUAGGAAGUAUGAUGUAUUCAAAGAACAGGACAGAGGAUGCAUGGUCCGCUAUUAGGGAUAACGAAAUUUGGAGUCUGCAAGAAGAGAAAACUAUUUUACCAUCAUUAAAGUUGAGCUACAUUCAGAUGCCGUCGGCUUUGAAGCAGUGCUUUGCUUAUUGCUCCAUAUUCCCCAAAGACUAUGAGAUUGACAAGGAUGACUUGAUCCGGCAAUGGAUUGCUUUAGGCUUCAUUUCAUCGCAUGAAACAUGGACUUCGAUGGAAGAUAUUGGAAAUGAGUACUUUAACGAUCUAUUAUGGAUGUCUUUCCUUCAAGACAUGAGGAAACACUGGGAAUCUAAAAAGGUUACCUGCCGGAUGCAUGAUUUAGUGCACGACCUCGCACAAUCUGUAGCAAGAGAAGAAGUUGCUGUUAUAGUUGGAGAAGAGUCAACAUGGAUCUCGGAAAGCUGCCGCUAUUUCUCGAUAUACAAUCGUUUCACGACACAGAUUCCAACCACAGUAGUGCAAAGGCUGCGAGCUCUUCAAUUUAGGGAAUCUGGUUCAUUUAUUACUUUUUAUAGUGAGGCAAAAUACUUACGUCUGUUGGAUUUACAUGAUUCCAAAAUUUCUAUAUUGCCAAGCUCAGUCGGUAAGUUGAAGCUCUUAAGAUACCUUGACCUUUCGAGGACCAGUAUACAAGAAUUGCCUGAAUCAAUUACCAGCCUCUACAACUUGCAAACCUUGAAUCUUUCAGGCUGCUGCGAGAUCCGUACAUUACCCAAAUUUCUAGGAAGGCUUACGAAUUUGCGGAUUUUAGAUUUAAGUGAUUGGCAAUCUCUGACAAUACCUGACUCCAUUAACAACCUUCAGAAUUUGCACGCACUAAAUUUGAGUUGGUGCAAAAAGGUGAUAUCACUUGAACUUAUAUGUCACCUCAAAAACCUGUAUUACCUAAACCUAUCAGGUCUAAAUUUUAUGGUGACAUUACCUGAAUCCAUUGGGAGCCUUCAAAACUUGCGUAUUCUGAAUCUUUCUAACCACUAUUCUCUACUAUCAUUACCCUCAUCGUUAUGUGAUCUCAAAAACCUGCGUAACUUAAACCUAUCACAUCUAAAUUCUUUGGUGACAUUACCUGAAUCCAUUGGGAGCCUUCAAAACUUGCGUACUCUGAAUCUUUCUGGCUGCAUUUCUCUACUAUCAUUACCCUCAUCAUUAUGUGAUCUCAAAAACCUGCAUUUCCUAGACCUAUCAAGUCUAAAUUCCUUGGUGACAUUACCUGAAUCCAUUGGGAGCCUUCAAAACUUGCGUAUUCUGGAUCUUUCUUGGUGCUCUUCUUUACUGUCAUUACCCUCAUCGUCAAGUGAUCUUCAGCAUUUAGAGGCACUAGACAUUAGCGACUGUGGAAAAUUAUGUGAGCUGCCUAAAAUGAUCCAAAAGCUGACCAAACUUAGAGUCUUGUUAAACGAGGAUUGCUCGGAAUUGAAGGGCAUGCCCCGAAGGAUCGGCAAGUUAGUUAGCUUGACGGAAUUGUCUGUUUUUGUCGUCGGCAAGCAAGACCGCAUCGAACAUUGUGCUAGCAUUUCUGAGCUAGAGCACCUUAAGCUUGUCGGCAAGCUGGAGAUCAAGGGUCUUGAAAAUGUGACGAGUCCGGUUGAUGCCAAGGCUGCAAAUUUGAUAGAGAAGAAGCUGCAGUCUUUGAAGUUGGAAUGGAAUGUUUUAAGUGCGGAAGAAGGUAUGGAUACUGUACUACUGGCUGAAGAGAUCGAUACCGUGCUCGAAAAUCUUCAACCACAUCAAAAGCUAGAGAGUUUGACAAUAGAAGGUUAUGGAGGUGGGAAGUUUCCUGGCUGGAUGAUGAAUAGGAUUGGCUCGUGCCUCCCAAAUCUUGUGGAAAUCAAACUUGCGGAUAUUCCCGGAUGCAGCUCACUCCCGCCGCUCGGGCAACUUCCUUUUCUUAAAGAACUAAUUAUAGAAAAUAUGCCCGCAAUAACAAAUUUCGGCGUUGAAUUUUAUGGAGAUAGCCAUAUUACUGCAAGUGCAAAUAAGUUCCCUGCCCUGACGAGCCUUAACUUGUCCUCCAUGCCAAUGCUGCGAGAAUGGGUGACGGUAUUGACGGUGGAUGACGAAGAAUGCAGGCGAGAGCGAGUUCCCAUUUUUCCGUGUCUCACUCAUUUGAUUCUUAAUGAAUGUCCUCAGUUCAGCCCAGAGCCUUGCCUCCCGGCGUCGGUUGAGGAGCUGAUCAUCUCCGGAACAAGCAAAGAGAAUCUAUCGUUAAUUCUCUCACGCGCGAUGCCACUUGAUGGUGGUGAUGCCGCCGUUUCACCCCAACCGCCACGAAAUAAGGGGCUGCGGAAUCUAAUAAUAGACGAAUGUCAGCAGCUAACUUGUUUGCCCGAGAGCUUGCGGAGUCUCACGUCCCUCCAGAACCUGAGAAUAUGUGGUUGCGAAGAUCUUGAGAGAAUUGAAGAUUGGCUCGGGGAGCUCACCGAGCUGCAGUCCUUGUUCAUUUGCUUACCGAGUCUCCGUUACUUGCCUGCCCACAAGAUGACCGCACUUCAGGGGUUAUAUAUCGCGGAUUGCCCGCUGUUGUUCGAUGCGGACCGACGAUUUGUCGACACCAGUGUCGAUCACAUAAAAAAUGUCGAUGUUCAUGGGAGGUAAUUAAUUUGGAGCUCUAACUACUCUUUAAUUAAUGAGCUAGCACCUUAAUAUUCUAUUGUAGCUAGCAUAAACAUCUCUUCUCAUUUUUUUUUUCUAAAUAUUCGGAUGGAAAACUUAAUUUCAAUUAGCCCCACCGCACGUGAUUCAAAACAUUUUCAUUUGCUAUGAAAUAUUUCAUUUUGCUAUUUUAUAGUUUUGUUUUUAUUUUCUUGCAAAUAUCUUCUACAAAAAAGAAAAAAAGAAAAAAAAUUAAAGUGCUAAAAUGGAUGAAUUAUAAGACAGUCGAGUAAUUUAUUUUACAAACCACAUAGGGACUAUGUGAAAUAUAUAUAUAUAUAUAUAAUAUAUAUAUAAUAUAGUAUAUUAUAUAUAUUAUAUAUAAUAUAUAUAUAUAUAUAUAUAUAUAUUAGUUCUAUAAAAUCUUAGCACUUUAGUACUCCACGCUACUUGAGAUAGGUUCUUAUGAUUGUAUAUAUAUAAAAAAAAAAUCCAUAGGAUUUUCAAGUAAAACUAUUUAAAACGUAGGGCGGCAAAAUGAAAACGGGUUAAACCAUAUUUCAAUAUCAAAAGUGCAGUUAAGAUAUUCGAAAACAUUGUUGGUUUUCUGGAAAAAAUUUCAAGUGGUCUUUUGCAUGUACAUAGACUAAUUAAUAAAAUUUUAACCUUUUCUUAAUUUGUAGCGAUUUGAGAUGCUGGAAAAUUUCUACUUGAACAAUAUAUAGUAUUUACAAAGUAAUUAUUUUCGGUCAUAUUGUUGAUAUACUAUUCGAGUCCUGGGAUAUUUUUCUUUACAAAUUAAAAUCAGGUAUGUUAUAUAUCAUACGUUAUUAGAAAGUCUAAGCAAAAUGUACAGCACAUACUGCACAAGCGUCGGAUAAAAAAGUAACCAUUUUGUGUUGUUGUGGUGUAGAAAAUACCUGUACAAAAAACAAGCGAGCAGCUCGCCACAUGUGGAACAGAGCUCACCGUAGGAGGAGGAAGAGAAGAAGAUUGGUUAGCGAGGAGAGCAUAAGUAUAUGUACCUAUUAUUUGGAGGUAAAAAGAUAUUAGAUAUUAUCUAAACGAUACUGCACUUUGAAAGUGGCCAAUUGGGCUUUACGAAUUUCGAUUUUAAUUCGAUUUUAAGUCGAUUUUAAUUCGAUUUUGAUAUAAGAAAUUUUCUUUGAAAGAUUUGUUAGAUCCUUUUAGAAUUUAGUCUCUUCCGUUAAACAAAGUGCAGAAUGUUUCAUAAAAUAAAAAAUAUCAAAUUUUAAAAUAUUUUUUCAAAAAACGUUAAGUAUCCUUUCGAAUUCUAUAAGGAACAUAAUAAAUACGGCGGAAGCGUAGUAUAGGUCUGUGAAACAACCGUUGUACUCUAAAAGCUUAAGCUGGUAGAGAACGGUAUUUAAACAUUUUUAUAUUUAACACUCCCCCUCACGUCUGGACUCUGGACUCGAGACUUUUUAGUCGGCCCAUAACGUGAGCUUAAAUUAAAUGAGAGGAAAUUAAUAUGUUAGGAGCCUGGCAUGACUCGAACUCAGGAUCUCCUGCUCUGAUAUCAUGUGAAACAACCGUUGUACUCUAAAAGUUUAAGCUGUUAGAAAACGGUGUUUAAACAUUUUUAUAUUUAACAAGCUCACGUAACCUUUUAGCUUAUUUGGUGAUCACUAUUCCCCUUUGAGAAGACUUUUUUUUCUUCCUUUGUUUUGCCAAAAAUAAACAAAUUUUAUAUAUCUACAUGCAAUGGUGAGAGUUUUUUUAUUCAUGGACUUGUGGUCUUCUCUUUCAGGUUGGUGCUAUUUAGCUUGCCGGACAAGAAUUGUAGUGUGCUGUUAUCGGUUAAUAUAUGUGUUUUCGUGAUAUAAAUUUAGUUUUUGAAUGUACUAUUUUAUAAUUUGAUUUGAUUGUUUGUAAUUUUAUGGUGUUUUUUAUACAUGUUAUGGGCUUGAAAAAAAUUGUUUGGUUUGAAUAAACAAAAUGCUGCUACUUUUUUAGUACGGAUAUUAGAGGGUACAUUAAUUUUUAAGUAAAUCUCAUGUAGAGUUUAUUACUAGUAUAUAUGCUUUGUGUUACGAAGUUGUUUAAAAUCAGAUGCUGUUAUUUGCAUGCAAGUUGGACCUAGUGUGUAUGUACCGCAGUUGAGAGGGUUAAUUUCCAUAUAUGUUUACUUUAGUUUAACUUUACUUUUAUUUGAUUAUUAGAUCCGAAGCCGAUAAAUUUUAAAGUAUUAAAAGUUUUAUUAUUUUGCUUUCUGCAAGAUUUUUAGUCUUUAAAUUCCACAAAUCUGAAUCGAUUUAUUAAUAAAAUCAAACUGAAUCAAUAGAAGUGAGUUGCUUUUCCAGUUUGGUUUUUACCAAACAUGUGAUUUAAAUGAAUAUAAAGGAUAUAUAUAUAUAUGAGUGAGGCUACUAUGCUAUCGGAAGCACGGAGCCUUCCUUGCUUCCAGCUCAUUUUUUGAUGUUGCGACUUUCGAAUCGUCGAUCGGCUCCGUUAAAUUUGAUCUAGACUAUUUGAAGUACCUAGAAUAUAAAUUUUAUGAUUUUACGAUAUCAUUUGCCUAGUGAACGAAGGGGCUCAAAAUCAACGGCUGAAAAUAAAAAUCUUACAAAAUGUAAUAAUAUGACAUUAAAAUUUUAAAUCAAGGAUAUUGAUCUUGUUUUAUAUAGUAUAUAAAGAAUUUUCUAUCAAAAUUUCACGCGAUUUGGAUAUUUCUACACCGUUAAACUUGCAAACGGCUUAUUAACGGCCAUUGAAAUUUGUUGAUUUUGAACCCAUUCGAUCAUGACAAGAUGAUCGAAAAAUAAUAAAAUUUAUUUUCUAGGUGCUCCAAAUACUCUAGAUCAAGUUUAAUGGAUCCGAUCGACGAAUUCGAAAAUCGCAACAUCGAAACGAGCUGGAAACGCGGAAGGCUCCGUGGUGUUCCGAUAGCAUAAUAGCCUCAUCUCUUCUCUCAUACUAGUAUAUAUAUAUAUUAUAAUAUAUGUAGGGCUUCUUGUCUCAGAGAGCACGGAGUCUCGGUGCUCCUGGACCGUUUCGAUGAAUAGAUUUUUCGAAUCGACGAUCGGCUCCGUUAGACUUGAUCUAGGGCAUUGAAGUUUCUUAAAAAUAAUUUUUACGAUUUUUAUAAUAUUAUUACCUAGUGAUCGAGAAGAUUAAAAUUCAUAAUUUUUAAUGGUUGAUUAAUCUACCAUUUUUAAGUUUAACAGGUAGAAGUAUUCAAUCAGAUGAAAUUUUGAUACAAAAUUUUUUAUACUAUCCUAAAUAUGAAAUCAAUAUUUCUGAUCGAAAAAUAUUUAGUACUAUAUCACUACUUUUUAAUAGAUUUUUUUUCAGUCGUUAAAAUUAUUGAUUUUGAUCAUUUCGAUUGCUAGUUAAAUGAUAUCGAAAAAUCGCAAAAAAUUAUUUCUAAAAACUUCAAAUACGCUAGAUCAAUUUAACGGAGCCGAUCGUCGAUUCGAGCUCCAUCAUCGAAAACGCUCAGGAGCACGGAGGCCUCCGUGCUCCUGAGAGCACAGUAACCGCUUAUUCUAUAUAUAUAAUUGAUAUAUUAUAUAUAUAUUAUAUUAUAUUAUAUAUAUAUAUAAUAUGUAUAUAUAUAGAGCUUAGUGCUACUAUCUAUCGUAGUACGGAGCGCUCCGUGCUACAAUUGUUUUCGAUGAUGUGGCUUCCAAUCGACGAUCGACUACGUUAGAGUUAAUCUUACACUAUUGAAAGUAUUAGAAACUAAAUUUCAUAAUUUCGAUAUCAUUUACUUAUCCAAACAAGUAGUCUAAAAUUGAACGGCUGAAAAUAAAAAAUCUCAUAAAAAAUGAUGAUAAAAGAUUUAAAUUCAAGAUCAGAUAUACUGAUCUUACUCUAAAUAGUGAAAAGAAUUUUCUAUAAAAUUUUCAUCAACGCAUUGGAUUGUUUAUACCGUUAAACUCACAAACACACCACAUCGGCUAUUAAAUUGUCAAUUUGAGAUCUUUUGAUCACUAGUCAAAUUGAUGUCGAAAAAAUUUGAAAUUUAGUUUCCAAAUACUUCAAUAGUGUAAGAUCAACUCUAACGGGAGCGAUCGUCGAUUUGGAAAGCCACAUAAUCGAAAAACAACUUGGUAGCACGAGCGGCUCCGUGCUACGAUAGUAUAGUAGCCUAGCUCUAUAUAUAUAUAUAUAUAUUAUAUAUAUAAUAUAUAAUAUAUAUAGAAGUCCGCUACUAUGCUAUCGCGUAGCACAGCGAGCGCUCCGUGCUACCAAGUGUGUUUUCGAUGAUGCGGCUUUCAAAUCGACGAUCGGCUCCGUUGACAUGAUCACACUAUUGAAGUAUUUUGAAACUAAAUUUCAUAAUUUUUUCGAUAUCAUUUACUAUCAAAUAAGUAGUCUAAAAUUGAACGGCUAAAAAUAAAAAUCUCAUAAAAAAAUGAUGAUGAUAAGAUUUAAAUUCAAAGAUCAGAUGAAUACUGAUUUUACUCUAAAUAGUGAAAAGAAUUUUCUAUAAACUUUUCAUCGCAUUUGGAUUUUUUUACUCGUUAAACUCACAACACAACCACAUCGGCCAUUAAAAUUAUCAAUUUUGAAUCUUCUAUCACUAGUCAAAUGAUAUCGAAAAAAUUGAAUUUAGUUUUCAAAUACUUUUCAAUAGUGUAGAUCAAGUCUAACGGAGCCGAUCGUCGAUUGAAAGCGCAUCAUCAGAAACAACUGGUAGCACGGAGCGCUCCGUGCUACCAUAGCAUAGUAGCGGACUCUAUAAUAUAUAUAUAUAAUAUAUAUAUAUUGCUGCAUUAUUUAAUAGUAAAGUAAAAUUUAUGUAAAUUAUGAGUGUGAGCUACUAUGCUUACGAAGCACGGAGCCUUCCGUGCUUCCAGCUCGUUUUGGAUGUUGCGACUUUCGAAUCGUCGAUCGGCUCCGUUAAACUUGAUCUAGAGUAUUUGGAGUACCUAGAAAAUAAAUUUUUAUUACUUUUCGUUAUUCAUUUGCGUUAGUGAUCGAAUGGCUCAAGAAUCAAACAAAUUUCAAUGUGCCGUGUGAUCGUGACGCAGUUUGCAAGUUUAACGGGUUGAGUAGUAGAAAUAUCCAACUCACUGGAAUCUGAUAGAAAAUUCUUUAUAUAUAUAUAAACAGAUCAAUAUCUUUGAUUUAAAAUUUUAAUGUCAUAUUAUUACAUUUUGUAAGAUUUUUAUUUUCAGCCGUUGAUUUUGAGCCCCUUCGUUCACUAGCCAAAUGAUAUCGUAAAAUUAUGAAAUUUAUUUACAAGUACUUCAAAUACUCUAGAUCAAGUUUAACGAAGCCGAUCGACGAUUCGAAAGUCGCAACAUCGAAAACGAGCUGGAAGCACGAAAGGCUCCGUGCUUCCGAUAGCAUAGUAGCCUCACUCGUAAAUUAUUAUAAUAAUAAGAGUUGAGCUAGAAUAUUAUUAAUAGCAAAACGUCCUUUUUGCUAUCAAAUUUUUAGUAUUUGGAUCAACUCUUUUCAUCAUUUCUAAUCAUUGAAUUAAAUACUAUAAUACGGUGGGAACCACUCACUCAACCCUAUGGUUUGUAAAUUAUAAUAUUUUAAUUACAUGUGGUUUAUAAGUUACACUAUUUUAGCAACCUUAUAGUGAUAAAAAAAAAAAUUAAAAUUAAAAAACAAGGGCAAUAUGGCAUAGCAAAAGUUUUUUCAACCACAUAUUGAAAAAAGUGAAAAUAUUAGCCUUUGGAUGGAAUAGUGCUAUAAAAUAGGAUACAAUAAACUUCUAAUUAGCCCCCUAUAAAUUAGCAAAUUUUCACUUUUUCAAUAUGUGGUUAAAAAAACUUUGGCUUUGCCAUAUUGCCUUUGUUUUUAAAUUUUUAUUUUUUUAUAACUAUAAGGGCCUUCUUUUGAAAUGGUUGCUAAAAUAGUGUAACUUAUAAACCACAUGUAACUAAAAUAUUAUAAUUUACAAACCAUAUGAUAUUAUAAUUUAUAAUAAUAUUACUUUACUCUUCUAUUUAAUGGCAAAUUGUUACGGUAGGAUAAAGACAAAAUUACGGGAUAGCAAAAUAAAAACUUCUAACUCACAGGAUUGCAAAAUUUAAAAAAUCCUAGUAAAUCAUAGGAGGGGUUAAUUGAAGUUUAUGCAAAAUAGAAACUCUAGCUUCGUGCAAUUAUUUCAUACUGUGAGGAGUAUACUCAAACUUCUAGAAUAGAUAAAAAUAUUUAGCCUAAAAAUCAUUUUUUUCCACGGAAAGAUAAAUUAUCUCAUAAUAAAAUUUAUUAUUCUGCAAAAUAAUGAACAACAAUACCUUCUAAAGCUGAGAGAAAAAGGGGAAAAAAAAGAAAUUCAUGUUAAUGUCCAAACGGGAUAGAGAUACCAAAGUGCAAAUAGGUCAAAACCAGAGGACCAAAUUGAAGUUUUCACUCUGCUAUAAAAACCCAGCCCGUUUGAAACCCCCCACCCUGCAGCACCUUCUUCUUGUAUUCCCUCCAAAACUUCUCCCUCCCAGAUUUCCUGCUCCAGCGUCCAACCCCCAAAAUCAAUCAAGAAUCGAAGAUGAGCGAAUCCUCGGCCUCCGUCGGUGGCGACGGCGAGAGUGGAAACGAGCUGUGGGCGCCGCCUUUUCCCGGGGAUAUCUUGCCCCGCAUCGUCGCGAGGCUGACCUGCGCCGAUCACGCCGCUCUCCGCGCCACCUGCAAAUCAUGGCGCACCAUCUUCUCCGCCAUCCCCCCCUCCCCCCAUCCCGGCCUGCUCCCCUUCCUCCUCCUCCCCCCGCAUUUCGCCCUCCCUGAUCCUCUCUGCCUCAGCCAUCGUACCCCGCCCUAUACCCCGCCCCUUCCCGACUACCCUCUUGGCCCCAUCGUCCCCUUCCCCCGCCUCGGCCACAGCCAUUCCGAUUCCCCCUUCUUCCCCCUCGGCAGCCUCCGCAAUCCCACAUUCCGCCCGCUCCCCUCCCUCUCCGACACCACCCGCCACGUCUGCGUCGGCUGCUCCCACGGCUGGCUCAUCCUCCUCGGCCCCACCUCCCACAUCUCCCUCCUCAACCCCCUCACCGCCGCCACCAUCCCCCUCCCUCCCCCGCUCUCCUCUGUCCGCUACCUCUUCCCUGUCUCCGAUCCUCGUGACGUCGACCAACACCUCCUCUCGCCGCCUCAUCAACCUCGCCGCCUCCUCCACCUCGCCGCCCUCGUCCGCCUCGCCGCCCUCUCCGCCGACCCCUCCGACGACCCCUCGUCCUUCAUCCUCGUCAUCGUCCUCGGGAACGACGUCUCCUCCCGCUUCUUCACCUGUGGCCCGAGCGACAGCUACGCUGCGUGGAAGCCCCACAGCCCGCUCAGGUUCCCUGCCUACGGCCUCACCGACCUCAUCUUCCACCACGGCCGCUGCUUCGCCGCCAUCACAUGGAGUUACUCUGGGCGCUCACUGCACGGCCCUGCAGACGCAAUCGCCGUUUUCGAUUUCCACACCUAUCCGGCAUUCCAGAGGCUUUUGCAUGUUCGGAUCCGCGAAAACUAUGUUGCGAAAAACUAUACCAACUUCUUGAUUGAGUCGGCCGGUGAGCUACUGCUCGUAACCAGGCAUGGAGAGAUCAAUGCGGGGCGCAUCUUGGUCCAUCGUUUGCCUCCGUUGGAGGGGGAUGGUCCGUUCGUACCAACUCCCGAGGCCAACCUCGGCAAUCGGGCCUUGUUCUUGGGCACGGGGAAUUCCGUCUUAGUGCAAGCCCGGGACUUCCGGCGAUUCAUCCGAAGAAACUGCGUCUACUUCACCGAUGUGUAUCGCAAGGUGGUAAACGAUCGGGCUGUUUCCGUCGGCUGCGUCUACGUGUUCGACAUGGAGAAAGGCAUCACAAGGAAGGCGUUCGAAGUGGCGCAAGAGCAUGAGAUGAAUAUGUGGUCGAAUCUGAGGCCGUGGUGGGUUACGCCCAAUUUGCGCAAGAGUGAUCCAUGAGCACCCAGAGGUUCGNGACAUGGAGCAGGGCGUCACGACGAAGGCGUUCGAAGUGGCGGAAACGGACGAGACGAACAUGUGGGUGAAUCUGAGGCCGUGGUGGGUUACGCCGAAUUUGCGCAGGAGAGGUCCAUGAGCACCGAGAGGUUCGAUCUCGUACCGCACUUUCGUUCUCCCUUGGUGCACAUUCUGAGUUUCAAAUACAAUUGCAGUCUCAUUGCGGAUACAAUCGAAGGAUCCGGAUCAUUUAUUUGCCCCCCUUACAUGUUCUUCUCAGCGAAAAGUUGAGAACUAAGGAUGCAAUUGAUCAAGCCUUAAAUCUGGAUAUUAGGAAUUGCUCAAAAUAAAAGCACCGAAUUUCGCAAUUUAAUUUCACUUCGCUUAUUGAAGUUAUUAUGAUCCAGUUUCAUAGUUUGAACACUUUUAACUUUUGAUCGGACAGUUUUGAAGAAUCUACUCCCUUACAUGUUUGAAGAGCAGUUCUUGAAUAGUAAAGAUUUUGCUCAAAUCUUUAAUAAUACAGUAUCAAGUUAUCUCGAAAAUUAAAAUGAGUUGUCCACGAUUUAUUGUGAUAUCAUGAUAAAAGUAGUUGCUUUUCAUGAUUCAGGUUAAUCGAGGAACGCAAGGAAGAACUGAAAGCGGCAAUUCGAUCAUUAUAACCGUCCUUAGUUCCCUGGCUUCCAAGCCAUCUAUACAAAUUUUAAUGUUUUCUGUACAUAGGAAGAUGAUGGUGUGCAGCAUAUAUAGUCCUGCAAGAGUUUGGAACUUCGUCCAUACAUUGUGUCAUAUCUGUUGCAAAAUUUUAGCACCACUUUGUUUUGAACUUGUACAUACCAUUUAGGAGCAUCUGCUGGGCACGCACACAACUAUCGGAAACUGAUUAGACGUGCGAUAAAGAGAUUGUCUUACUGUGUGAAGAACAGCAUGAUGAUCCGUCUGAAGCAUUCUCCUCUGUAAACAGGAAACUGCAUGUUUACAUCUCCUUCUUUUUCUUUUUCUUUGUUCCUUUCUUUGUGGGGUCUUAUAUUGUUAUUAAUUAGAUCAAGCAUCAACAAUUGAGUUACUUCCCUCAAAAAAAAAAAAAAAAAAACAAUUGAGUUACUAUACUUAUGUUUCUUACUCUCCAAUUUGAUUUUGUAAUGAAGGCAUAGUGACUUUUGUGACCAGGAUUGAGGAAAGGGUUUAUUAUAAUGAUCCCUAGUUGAAUCCAAUUUCUAUGGCUAUACUCCUUUAUUAAGGACCUAUUAGGCCCCGCUAGGUAGGAGGAAUUCUACACUAUCAUACUUGCACCACGUCAUUAAUAACAAAUCAAUUAUAUUUCUUUUUUUCAAACAAAAGUAUAAUAAAAAUAUUUUUUUACAAUCAUAAUGAGACAUAUACUCUUAAAAGGAGACAUUUGAUUGAUUUGUUACGCCAAGUCAUCAAUAUAUCCGUUAUAUUCUAAAAUUUUUUGCUAGGUAGAGGGUGGAGUUUACUGUUUGAUGCUAAUAAUAGUUUAUUGCGGCAACUCUAGUUCCCGUCCAAAUUCAAAAAUCCUUAACCCAAAGAUAGAAAUUUUCCCAACAAAGUAAGACCCAAGAAGGAGUAUUAUAUCGGUAAAUAAACCACAUAAGUUGAUCAAAAUAUGUUAAACACUGUAUUUAAGGGUUUGUUUGGUUCAAUGGUGGAAUUGAAAUGGAUAAUGGAAUGGAAAUGAAUUGGAAUAGUAAUUGGAAUGACCCACUCCCCCAAGACGUUUGAUUUAUUUGUGGAUUGAGAAUUAGAAUGAGUUAUUCAAAUUUCAUUGUUAGGUUCAUAUAAACUAAAAAAAUUAUAGGAUACUAUAAUACUAAUUUUACUCUCAAAUAUAAAUUUGUAUUAUUUAAAAUUUAUAAAAAAUAUAAUACUAUUCUCUAAUAAGUUUUCCAAAAAAAAUAUCAAAUUUAUUUUUAAAAACUUUUAUUAAUGUGGGUUAGGAAUAGGAUUUUGAGAGAGGAUAGAUUUUUUUUUUUUUGAUGAGAAAGGGGUGAAGAGAAGGAGGGUGAGAUGGUCACAUGGGCUUUGAGCUUCCGGAAUGAAAUUUCAAUCCGGACUAGAAGACCGGAAUCAAGUUGAAGACUAAUAGGCCAUUUCCAUUCCAGUCCGAAAUAGCAAUCUCAAACCAAUUCAUGCGAACCAAACAAAAUUAACCGGAUUUGAUCAAACCGAUUUCCAUUCCAUACCCAAAAUGGAUGAACCAAACAAGCCCUAACUUCGUUCCCUUAAUCUCCAAAAUUAGAUAUCAGCAUCUAAUUGCGCAUAGAUCUACUUCCGCAGGAACUACAUAACCAGAUGAUCGCGAUUAAAAAGAAACACGCUCGAAUCGAGUAAUCAAACCAAUCACCUGCACGAACAGCUCGAUCCCCCCUCGCCGCCCCCGGCAUCGUCUUCCUCCCGGCGACGGCGACGGCGGGCGCGGCGGGAGAAGGACGACGGCGACGAGGAGGAGGGGGACAAGAUUUUUAGUUUUUAAUUCCCCAAAUCCGAAAUCAAUUUAUUUACUAAAAUCAAACUGAAUCAGUCCAAGUGAGUUGCUUUUCCAGCUUAGUUUUUAUGAAACAUAUGGUUUAAAUGGAAAUAUAGAUUUAUCUUGCCGCACAAUUUUGAUUUAAAUAAUUUGAUUAUUUUUUCAAUAUAAAAUUUAGAAUAAUUAUUUACUUAAUAAAUUUAUAUCUGUGUAAUUAAAAAUACAUUUAAAUUUUUAAAGCUAAAGAGUCAUUAGUUGAUUCAAAUCAAAUAAAUUAAAAGAUUAUAUAGCAAAAUUAAAAUUUUUAAAGAUUAGAUAAUCAGAUUAAAAUAAGUGACAGUUGUGGUAAGUUGUAUAAAUUUUUACUUUUUUAUUCGGAAAAUCUGAAAAAUUAGAAGAGGUAUUUAUUUCAAAAUAUGUUAAAUUUUUUGAUUUAUUGUCUAUUCUUUCUGAUUUGAGUUUCAUGAAAUUUUUGCUAACUAUAUACCCAGUGCUAUGUGCAGUAUGCCUUUUUCUCUUUUCUUUUUUUUUUUUUCAUUCUCCUUCAUUUGCAUUGUGACUGUAGAGUAUCCUACAUUGUAAAUUGAAAAUGAUUCCGGUUACUAAAGAGAAUAAAUAAUAUAUUUAUCUUAUACCAGAACAGACUCUUUACAAAAAAAUUUCACUUUGGCCCCUAAAAUUUAUAAUAUUUUAAUUUUUUAAUAUAUCAUAGUUAGAAACUUUUGUGUAAUUUUCAAAAACUUGAGGGGGCCCAUGACCAUUGUUGGCCUCUCAAUAGCUCUCUCCCGGUUCAGGACUAAGCAAAGCAUCCCAAAAGGACUUUGAUACAAGUAUGCUAGAUUGAUAAACAUAAAAAUAUAAAAAAAUCAUUCCGGCUUAAGUUUUUUUAAAAAAUAAUUGUUUCAUAUUAUUUAACAUGAUAUCAAAUAAAAAGAUUAUGAGUUCGAGUCACACCAGGCUCCUAACCUAAUUGAAUUUUCUCUCGGUUAAUUUAAGUCCACGUCGAACUUAGACGUAAGGGAGAGUGUUCAAUAUAAAAAUAUAAAAUAUCAUUAUCUAUCAGCUUAAAUUUUUAGAGAAAACAGUUGUUUCGCGUUGUUUAACAUAGAUUGAAGCCAUAUGCACAGCUAAACAAGUAGCGUGGGUAAAUCCAUUAAAAAUGUCUAGAUGCUGCAUGCGAGUCCUCUAAAACUUGCAAUUUAUCUAUAACAAAAAGAGAUGAUGUAUCACGUGCAGAAGUAUGUAACAGUAAGGAUUGCAGCUGCAGGCGAUUUGAUUAUGAGCAACCACAAUUAAACUAUGGCUGGCGCACAUUUAUUUAAUUACAUUUUACAUGUUCACUUAUAGAUAGCAUGCUAGAGAGCCGGCUCAGCCACCAUGUGAUCUUUGCUCUCUUUUACAGAGUGCAGAUCUUACGUCUGUUUCCAUUUUGAAAAAAUUAUAUAUAUCUUUUUGGUUGAAAUACAUAAAGUCACCAGCACUGUACUGCCAUAUGAAAUUUCCUCCCCUCAACUUUUUAUUUUUUCAUUUAUAUUUAUUUGACUUAAUUAGACCCCUAUGUUAAUUACAAGGUUAUUUUACCGACGGUUCCUGGUGCAAGUGGCAAAAGACUUAGUAGUUGGUAUCCAAGGUUUCAAAUUUAAAUUCUAAUUGAUUCACAUUUUCAUUCUAAAUAAAAUAAACGAAGUAGUAGAGUAGCAGUUGAGAUGUAUGGCAAUGAUGACAACAUGAAAAAAUAAAUGAGCUGUUGUCUCUAAUAAUAGAAUGAGAGUGCCGACAGAUACAAAAGAAAGCUAAAUUUUUUUAUUCUGAUUUAUGAUAGCAACGUGGUUUUGAAAAAAGAUUCCAAUAGCCUCUCUAAUUUAUAAAGAUUUGAGAUAAUCAGGUAUAAUAAAAAUUUAUAUAUUUUUCACCGAUGGGAGUCUAACGUAAAGAAAACAAAAGAAAGAAAAAAAAAAUGAUAGUAUAAAGAGGUGUAAAUUAAGAAAAUAAUUUUUUUAUGGCUAUUAAGAAAAUCAAUGCUAAUUAAAAAAAAGGCAAUUUCGAACUGCGGUACAGUGCUGAAGUGGUCUCCAAUUUUUUUUUUCUUUUUUGUUGGGGCAAUCAAAAUUUAUACAUAUCAAUCCUUCAAAUAUAAUAGUAUCGUAGAAUAAUAUCGUGGGGUGAAAAUCGUUUUGAUAUUACUCAAUCUAACCGGACUCUGAAGCCAAAGAUUAUCAGAUUUGGAUUGAAAUUUUACUAUCCAUUACAGACUCAAAUUUAGAUUCAGAUCCAAAAUUUGAAAUUCUUUUGGGUUCAAAUUAAGAUUCAUUAUUCCUUUUUAUUCAAAAUUAUUCGAAACAAAAACUGAUUUUGACUGCUUUUUUAAUUUCUUAAGCAAUGCCAUUUAAGCAUCUUUCAGAAAUCUCAAACAUCUUCAUUGCAUUUUCUUCACUUGGAAGAGAAAUUAAUAAUAAUAAUAAUAAUAAUAAUAAUAAUAAUAAUAAGGCCCUCCUUUUCCGCCUCUUCAUUUGAAAAUGGACACGGAAACAUCAAGAUCCAAAGAGAAAAUUUGAAACUGAUAAUAUUUUUAUAAUCUGUACAAUAGGAUAAAGCCGAUUAAGGGAGUAACGUGCAAAAGGUCAACGAUUCCCAGCGUAGUUACCAGAGAGCAGCAGCACGAUAAUUGGAGCAACCACCUAUCAUCCCCAUAUUCUCUGCUAGGACGUUUGUAUUGAGAAGAAGCACAUAGCUAGCUAGCUGCUUUGGUAAUAGCGAUGGCGGAGGGGAUCGCAUUCGAUCUGGUCAAAGGAGUGCUGGGCAAGCUGGGCUCCGCUCUCUGGGACGAAAUCGGGCUGCUGCGGAGCUUCAAGGACGACGCGGACGAUCUCAAAAGCGACUUCUCGGCGAUCCAGGUGGUGCUUCUCGACGCCGAGGAGCGAAGCAGCAGCGUUGGGAAGGAGAGCCACGGUUUGAACGACUGGCUGCGCAAACUGAAGGACGCCGCCUACGACGCCGACGACCUGCUGGACGAGAUCCGGACGGAAGCUGAAAAGGUACGUGGAUUUCUGUCCCGCGCUAAUCCGAUGCAUCUGAAGUUUAAGCGCAAGAUGGCACACAGGAUGAAAGAGCUCAGAGAAAAGAUCGGUAAGAUCGCGGAACAGAGGCAUAAGUUUGGUCUUGCCGAAGUUGGCCCUGGUCGGCAGGCUGAGUUCAAGCGCAGUGAUUCAUUCUCGCUCGUCGACGAAAAGAAAAUAGUUGGGAGAGAUGAUGAUAAAGAGAAAAUUGUGAAGCUACUGCUACAGACUAACAGCGAUCACGACGUGUUGGUCAUUCCGAUCGUGGGAUUGGGGGGUUUGGGGAAGACGACGCUCGCUCGGCUGGCCUUCGACGAUGGGCGGGUUACGGGCCAGCAGCGCUUCGAUCUACGGGCGUGGGUCUGCGUGUCUACCGAUUUCGACAUAAAGACGAUUGCAAGGUCGGUGAUGUCUGAAGCUGGAGAGAAGUGUGAUCUUGACAACUCGGAUGCCGUCGGCCAUUGCCUUGUUAGGAUCUUUAGCCAGAAGAGAUUUUUGCUGGUGCUGGAUGAUGUGUGGAACGAAGAUCAGGAAAAGUGGGAGAAAUUGAAGGUUUUGUUUAAGGACGGCAAGCAGGGAAGUAAAAUCUUAGUGACCACACGGAGCAAGAAGGUUGCCACGAUAAUGAAAACAGUCGAACCACACCAUGUGAAAGUCUUAUCAGAUGAUGAUUGUUGGACAUUGUUCAAAAGACGGGCAUUCGAGAAAGGGGAAGAGAACGACUAUCCGAGUUUGGUGGAAAUUGGAAAGCAGAUAGUAGAGAAGUGUGGUGGCUUGCCUUUAGCAGCAAAUGCCUUAGGAAGUAUGAUGCGCUUUAAGAGGACAGAGAAUGCAUGGUCUGCUAUUAGAGAUAGCGAAAUAUGGAGGUUGGAAGAAGGAACUAUUUUACCAUCAUUAAAAUUGAGCUACAUUCAGAUGCCGUCGGCUUUGAAGCAGUGCUUUGGUUACUGCUCCAUAUUCCCCAAGGACUACGUGAUUAACAAAGAUGACUUGAUCCGGCAAUGGAUUGCUUUAGGCUUCAUUUCAUCGCAUGAAACAUGGACUUCGAUGGAAGAUAUUGGGAAUGAGUACCUUAACGAUCUAUUAUGGAUGUCUUUUCUUCAAGACGACGUGGAGAACAAAUACAGAUACCGGAUGCAUGAUUUAGUGCACGACCUCGCACAGUCUGUAGCAAGAGAAGAAGUUGCUGUCAUAUUUGGAGAAGAGUCAACAGGGAUCUCAGAAGGUUGCCGCUAUGCAUCAAUACACAGUAGUUUCGUGCCACAGAUUCCAACCACGGUAGCGCAGAGGUUGCGUGCUCUUCAAUUUAGGAACUCUGGUUCACUUAUUAUGGCUUUUUAUAGCGAGGCAAAAUGCUUACGCCUGUUGGAUUUACGUGGUUCCCAAAUAUCUAUGCUGCCAAGCUCAAUCGGUAAGUUGAAGCUCUUAAGAUACCUCAACCUUUCAUCGACCAAUAUACAAGAACUGCCUGAAUCAAUUACCAGCCUCUGCAACUUGCAAACCUUGAAACUUUCAAGCUGCCACGAUAUCCGUACAUUACCCAAAUUUCUAGGAAGGCUUACGAAUUUGCGGAUUUUAGAUUUAAAUGAUUGCCUAUCUCUGACAAUACCUGACUCCAUAAGCAACCUUCAGAAUUUGUACGCACUAAAUUUGAGUUGGUGCAUAAAUGUGAUAUCACUUGAACCUAUAUGUCACCUCAAAACCCUGCAUCACCUACACCUAUCAUUUCUAUAUUCUUUCACAACAUUACCUGAAUCCAUUGGGAGCCUUCAAAACCUGCGAAUUCUGAAUCUUUUUUGGUGCUGUUCUCUAAUAUCAUUACCGUCGUCGUUAUGUGAUCUUCAGCAUUUAGAGAAACUAGACAUUAGACGAUGUAGAAAAUUAUGUGAGCUGCCUAAAAUGAUCCAAAAGCUGACCAAACUAAAAGAAUUGUUAAACGAAGAUUGCUGGGAAUUGAAGGGCAUGCCCCGAGGGAUCGGCAAGUUACUUAGCUUGCAGGAAUUGUCCGUUUUUGUCGUCGGCAAGCAAGACCGCGUCGAACAUUGCGCUAGCAUCUCUGAGCUAGAGCACCUUAAGCUUGUCGGCGGGCUGGAGAUCAAGGGUCUUGAAAAUAUAACGAGUCCGGUUGAUGCCAAGGCUGCAAAUUUGAUAGAGAAGAAGCUGCGGUCUUUGAAGUUGGAUUGGAACGUUUUAAGUGCGGAAGAAGGCACGGAUAGUACUGUACUACCGGCGGAAGAGAUCGAAACCGUGCUAGAAAAUCUUCAACCGCAUCAAAAGCUAGAGGAAUUGAAUAUACGAGGCUAUGGAGGCGGGAAGUUUCCUAGCUGGAUGAUGAAUAGGAUUGGCUCGUGCCUCCCAAAUCUCGUUCAAAUCCAACUUGUGAAUAUGUCCAGAUGUUGCUCACUCCCGCCGCUGGGGCAACUCCCUUUUCUUAAACAACUAUUUAUAAGAAAUAUGCCCGCAAUAACAAAUUUGGGCGUAGAUAAGUUCCCUGCGCUGACGAGACUUCGCUUGUCCCGCAUGCCGGUGCUGCGAGAAUGGGUGACGGUAAUGACGGUGGACGGCAAAGAAGGCAGGCGAGAGCGAGUUCCCAUUUUUCCGUGUCUCACUCAUUUGAGUCUUACAAAAUGUCCCCAGUUCCGCCCAGAGCCUUGCCUCCCGCCAUCGGUUGAGGAUCUGGACAUUUCCGGAACAAGCAGCGAGAAUCUAUCGUUAAUUCUCGAAUGCGUGACGCCACUUGACGAGCGCGAUGCUGCCGUUUCACUCCAACCACCACCAAAUAAGGGGCUGCGGAAUCUAACAAUAACUAAAUGUCAGCAGCUAACUUGUUUGCCCGAGAGCUUGCGGGGUCUCACGUCCCUCCAGAGCCUGAGAAUAAGAGGUUGCCAUGAUCUUGAGAGAAUUGAAGAUUGGCUCGGGGAGCUCUCCGACCUGCAGUCCUUGUCCAUCCAUGGGUGCAGCAGUCUCCGUUACUUGCCUGCCCACAAGAUGACCGCACUUCAGGAGUUAGGUAUCGGGAAUUGCCCGCUGUUGUUCGAUGCAGAUGGACGAUUUGUCGACACCAGUGUGGAUCACAUCAAAUAUAUCUAUGUUGAUGGAAGGUAAUUAAUUUGGAACUCUGACUACUCUUUAAUUAAUUAGCUGGCUAGCACCUUAAUAUUCUCUUGUAGCUAGCAUAUAAACCUCUUUCUUUAAAUUUAUUUAUUUAUUUAUUUAUUUAUUUUUAAUCCAGAUGGAAAAACUUCCAUUAGCCCCGCCCCACGUGGUUCAUUUGCUAUAAAAUAUUUCACUUUGCUAUUUUAUUGUUGUCUUUAUUUUGCCCAACUACUGCCAAAGAAUAUUGAAGUGCUUAAAUUUAUGAAUUAUAGGAUAUUAAAGUAGUAUAUUUUAUAAAUUUUAGCACUUAACUACUUCACUUGAUGGCAAGUUCUUACAAUGAUACGAAGGAAAGAAAUAAUCACACAAUUUUAAAGUAAAAAAUUACUAUUUAAAGUACAGGACGAUAAAGUAAAAAAUGCAUUGAAUUAUAGAGGGUCCAAACUAAAGUUUUUCCUCACCGUAUAAACCUCUCGUAACAUACUUAUAGAUGCACAUACUUACUGCAACAUGAGUUACAAACCAUUUGCUAUUCACAAUCUCCAAUCCCCACCUUCUCGAGCAAUUGACCCACCAAUUUAUGUAUCUGGGAGAUUUUGUUUAAUUUAUAUUCUGAGUGAUUAUAAAUUUUUAGAUUAGUUUUAUCCUACUCUUAGAUAAGUUUUAUCCUGUUCUUAUUUCUUCCGGUUUAGAUAUGCUAAAUUGCUAUUCAACACAAUAUUUUGCUUGUACAAGUAGUUCAUAGAUUACACGAGGCAAUUAUUUUUCCACAAAUUUUGUAGCAAUUCCAACUUUACUAAUUUGCACAAUUGAAACUAUAUCAGCUUGCCGUUGCACAAUUUAAAAGCCACAUUUCAAAAUCAACUACAUAAAAGUGCAGCUAAGAUAUUCUAAAACAUGGUUUGUUGCUAAAAAAAAUUUACAAGCGGUCUCUUGCACGUAUAUAGACUAAUUAAUGAAAUUUUAACCUUCUCUUAAUUUAUAGCGAUUUGAGAUGCCGAAAAGUUUCUACUCGAAAGAUAUAUAGUAUUUGCGAAGUAAUUAUUUCCGGUAAUAUUGCUAAUAUACUAUUCGAGUCCUGGGAUAUUUUUCUUUUCAAAUUGAAAUCAGGUAUUUUAUAUAUCAUGCGUUAUUAGAAAGCCGAAGAAAAAUGUACAGCACAUGCUGCACGAGCAUUGGAGUUUAGUAGUUUCCACACCCUCUUGUUGUUUACUUUUCAGCUACUGCUACACCGACAGAUCAUCGAGAUAUGAGGAUUAUGCCAUAGAUAGCAUCUCCAACCCGUGUAUAUAGAGGACCACCAGUUAGUUGGUUUUGAGAUUGUAUGAUGUACAUUAGGACCGGCGGGGUCAGGAUCUUUACUUAUAUACCUUUAUUUUGAAAUGUAUAGUUGUAUAUUUGUAUGGAUAGUGGUCGUUGUUUAGUUUAGUUUUACAUAAAUCGCUAUGAUACUUUGUGUUUAGUUGUGAACUCUAGAAUCAUUAAUGUUGACUCUUUGAUUCCUUUAUUACUGCUACUGUUUCGUUGGUCGCUUCGUGCGGACAGGAGAAACUCUAUCCGUUCGGUGGAUCUGUCGAUGUUCCCGUGGGCUUACGCUAUGAAAUUGGGGCGUGACAGAUUAAUGUGCUAAAAAAAGUUACUAUUUUGUGUUGUUAUGAUGCAGGAAAUACCCAUAUGAGGAAGAAGGGAGCAGCUCGCCAAAGGAAGAGAAGAGCUCACCGAAGGAGGAGGAGAAGAAGAGUUGGACGAGUUAUUGGAGCAGAUCGAAUUGGUUAGCGAGGAGAGCAUAAGUAUAUGUACCUAUUAUUUGGAGGUAAAAAGAUAUUAGAUAUUAUCUAAACUAUCAUGUGCUUUUAAAGCGGGCAACUGGGCUUUACGAAUUUUGAUUUUAAUUCGUAAACCUUAUAUAUGCUCAUUUUGAUAAAAUAAAUUUUCUUUCAAAGAUUUGUUAGAUUCUUUUAGAAUUUAGUCUUUUCCGUUAAAAACAAAGUACAGAAUGUUUCAAAAAAUAAAAGAUAUUUUUUAAUCAAAUUUUAAAAUGUUUUAUCAAAAAACGUUAAGUAUCCUUUCGAAUUCUAUAAGGUGUUAGGAUUUGGUUAGAUUUGUAAUUGAAUCCUAUUUGGAUAAGAAUUAAUAUUUAAAUCUGUUUAAAAUAAAUUAAGAUUUAAAUAUUAAUUAGAGGAUCAACCUAACUAGAUUAGGAUUAAUAUUUAAAUCUAUUAGAGAUUAAUUAAGAUAGAUUUAGAUAUUAAUUAGAGUAGAAAUCCUAAAUAUAUUAGAAUUGGGGUACAUUUUGGUGGAGCUUUAUAAAUAGCUCUUGAUGGGUUUGUUUUUGAGGUGAGUACGGGAGAGAGAGAGAGAGAAAAGGCCUCUUGGGUGCCGUACCAGAGAGAGAAAAAGAGAGAGAGAAGGGAAUGAGAGAUUCAGAAAGAGAGCUCGGAUUGUAGCUACUCUGCGCAGAAGAGGAGUCAGGUGUAAUCUUCUCUUAUUUAAUGAAUCUUAUUUUACCCGCAUAUUUUCUGUUUUGGUAUUUCUCUCUUUUAUGAUUGUAUCAGUUUUUGCUGAGGAGACGGAUUUAUGGUAAAAAUCCGAUUUGACGUUUCCGUUGCGGAAUCCCAACCAUCGGUAUCGGAUUCACAAUAGUCGGUAUCGGAGCGGGUUGCGGAUUCACAAGAUCCGGUACCGGGGCGAGUACCGGAUUCCCAACAUAAGGAACAUAAUAAACACGGCGGAAAGUUAGAGAGUAGAAUUAAAUUUUUUAAAGUUUAGUUAUUUAUCUGAAAGCGUAGUAUAGCUCAAGUAAUUAAGAAUCAUUCUCUUUUAGCUUAUUUGGUGAUCACUAUUCCCCUUUGAGAAGAGUUUUUUUUUCCCCUUUGUUUCGCCAAAAAUAAACAAAUUUUAUAUAUCUAAAUGCAAUGGUGAGAGUUUUUAUUCAUGGACUUGUGGUCUUCUCUUUCAGGUUGGUGCUAUUUAGUUUGCCGGACAAGAAUUGUAGUGUGCUGUUGUCGGUUAAUAUAUAUUUGUGUUUUCGUGAUAUAUAUUUAGUUUCUGAAUGUACUAUUUUAUAAUUUGGUUUGAUUAUUUGUAAUUUUAUGGAGUUCUCUAUACAUGUUAUGGGCUUGAAAAAGAUUGUUUGGUUUGAAUAAACAAAAUGUUGCUACUUUUUUAAUACUGAUAUUAGAGGGUACAUUAAAUUUUAAGUAAAUCUCAUGUAGAGUUUAUUACUAGUAUAUAUGCAUUGUGUUACGAACUUGUUUAAAAUCAGAUGCUGUUUUUGGCAUGCAAGUUGGAGCUGGUAUAUAUGUAUGUACCGCAGUUGAGAGGGUUAAUUUCCAUAUAUGUUUACUUUAAUUUAUCUUUACUUUUAUUUGAUUAGAUCCGAAUUAAGCCGAUAAAUUUUAAAGUAUUAAAAGUUUUAUUAUUUUAAUUUGCUUUUUGCGAGAUUUUUAGUUUUUAAAUUCCACAAAUCUGAAUCGAUUUAUUAAUAAAAUCGAACUGAAUCAAUAAAAGUGAGUUGCUUUUCCAGUUUGGUUUUUACCAAACAUGUGGUUUAAAUGAAAAUAUAUAUAUAUAUUGCUGCAUUAUUUAAUAUAAAAUUGAGAUUAAUUAUUUAUUUUAAUAAAUUUAUAGCUUCAUAAAUUUAUAAAAUAUAGUAAUUAAACAUGUAAAGAUAAACAAUACAUUUAAAUUUUAAAGCCAAAGAGAUAUUUGACUCAAAUCAAAUAAAUUAAAAAAUUAUACUCUUAAAGAUUAGAUAGUAAAAUUAAAAUGAGUGAUAGUUGUGGUAAGUUAUAUAAAUUUCUUAUUUUUUUUAGUCAAGUAAUCCAGAAAAUUAAAAGAGGUAUUUACUUCAAAAUAACUUAAAUUAUUUUUUAUGGACAAGUAUUUUUCGAGACCCUAACAUUUGGGACCAACCGUAAAAAAUAAGGAAAAUUGCAUGAAAUUAAUUAACCAAAAUUUUAUUUUAUUGGAAAAAUAACCAGAAAAUUUUUAAAAUUUUCUGAUUUUAUUGUUUAUUCUUUCUUAUGUGAGUUUCAUGAAAUUUUUGCCCUUACCCAGUGCAUGGGCACUAUGCCCCCUUUUUUUUUUCCCCUUUUUCUUUUUAAUGGAAAUGCAGUAUGCAUAAUUGAUCCUUGAUGUAUACUAUAUUUUUAAUUUAACAACCGAAAAAAUAUGCUGUGAAAAUUAAACUAGUGGAUGAGAUAGCGUAAGGAUAUAUGAAUGUAUAAGGUGCAUCCAAUCGUUUUAUGAAGCGAUUAAAUUAUUUAAAUUAAAUAAAAAUUUUAAAUAUAAUAAAUAUAAAUUUUUUUAAAAAAAUUAAAUAGAUAGAUUUCAAAUUAUCCAAAAUUCAAUUAUCUUUGUAUAUUCAAAAUUCAAAAUCAUCAUAGAAAACUGCAUCUAACUUGUGAUGGCCAGUACCUUAAAAUUAAAAUCCAAAACAAAAAAGUACGAUCUACAGUAUCUAAAUGGAUUAUGUAUAAAAACACAAGGUUAAAAAAAAAAAAUCUAUUACUAAGUCAUCUAAAGUCUAUUCGUUUGUCUAUCGUAGAGAACGAGUAAUUAUUUGAUUUAUGAAGAAAUAUAUCUUCAAAAUAAGAAAUGCUACUGGUGCAUUCAAAAGUGUGGUGUAAAUCUAAGAUUUAUCCUCAAUAUGAAUUUUGUUUUUAAAUCUCAUCUUAGUAUCCGUUCAUUGUAUGGACUAGUUUACUGGAAUGGGCUUGGGCAUCCUACCUCGUUCCAUAUAACGUUUUGGUUCUGGUGGUCGUAUCAAAGUAAAUUUGUAUUUAUCAUAUCAACUUAUCACGACACAUAACUUCUCUUUGCUUUUUCUUCCUUUUUUUUUUUUUUUUUUUUUUGGAUAAAAGCCUUCCCAUGGUUGUAUGCAAGAGAUUAUAACUUGAUUGCUUAUGAAUAUGAGAGAAAGACGGGUGCUUAUUGUUUUGGAAUUUGUUGUUUGUCUGACGAUCCUGAUUAAAUAAUAUGAAGUACAUAUCUCUGUUUCUUACAUUUAUUUGAUCUUUAUAUACGUUUCAUUUUGGUCCUCAAACUUUCAAGUUCAACGACCGAGAUUUUGAACUCUUCAAAUAUUUUGCACAUCAACUGUUGGAUGGCAAAUUUCUGCUUACACCUAUUAUAUGUAUGCUACAUAUUUGUAUACUUAUUUAUCGACUCUGUACUGUCAUAUUAUUUUUACAUUGCCGCUUGUGGAUUUACAAUCGUUUUCUUUUUUAUUUAGAAAUUAGAGUAUUGAAUUGAAAGUAUGAGAUAAAAGACGGCUUGAUGAAUUUGUGGUGCACAAACAUACGGGUAACAUUUUCCAAGGUAUUGCUUUAGAAGGUAUUGCUGUUCAUUAUUUUGAGGAAUAAUAUAUUUUAUUAUGAGAUAAUUUAUCUUUCCAUGAAAAAUUGAUUUCUAGGCUAAAUAUUUUAUCCAUUCCAGAAGUUCUAAUAUACUCCUCAUGGUAUGAAAUAAUUGCACAAAGCUAGAGUUUCUAUUUUGCACAAACUUCAAUUAACCUCUCCUAUGAUUUACUGCAUUUUUUCAAUUUUGCAAUCUUGCGACUUAGAAGUUUUAUUUUGUUAUCCCAUAGUUUUGUCUUUGUUCUACCGUAACAAUUUGCCAUUAAAUAGAAUAGUGAAGUAAGAUUAUUGUAAAUUAUAAUAAUAAUAUGAUUUGUAAAUUAUAGUAUUUUAGUUAUAUGUAAUUUAUAAGUUACACUAUUUUAGCAACCACUGCUGAUAAAAAAAAUAAAAAUUAAAAAACAAGGGCAAUAUGGCAAAGCCAAAGUUUUUUUAACCACAUAUUGAAAAAGUGAAAAUGUGCUAAUUUAUAGGGGGCUAAUUAGAAGUUUAUUAUAUCCUAUUUUAUAGCGCUAUUCCAUCCAAAGGCCUACAUUUUCGCACUAAUUUUAUCAAUUUUUUCUUUGUUCAUAUUAAAAAUUUAAAAGUAUUGUGUAAAUUUUUAAAUAUGUGAGUAUAAGAUUUACACUGCGCUUUUAAGUGAGCAUAGUAUAUAAAAAGAAUAAAAGCUAAAUCUCAUAAUCCAUCUGUUGACUUAUCAUUCACAUUAUCAGUCAAAAUUACUUUUCAUUUGUACAAGAGUGAUUCUUCAAUCUCGUUUUUUAUUACAUUUAUCACCUAAACAAUUUCAAUAGCAUUUGGAGGUACCACCUGAGUUUAGGGUUGAGGGUUUGUUCGUAAACUUCGAUUGGCGAAAGUGGUAGCAACAUGUAUAUACUAAAUUGCAUUCAAAUUUUUAUCCAUAUUUAACUUGUUCGUAUCAUAUUUAACUAGUAAAUUAACAAACACUUCGUACUACAGUAAAAGUUGACAUUAAAAAAUUUGCGCAUUUGGAGAGUAAGACAAAGUACGGGAACUCAAUUCUUGAUGCUUGAUCUAAUUCACAAGAUGAGAUCCUCCUCACUUUGCAUUUAGUGGAAGUUGCAAAAAUGAUCUGAAAUGCUUGAGCUGCGAGAAAUUGACCUCAUACAUUUAAGAAGGCCAAAAGAGUUUCAGAUAAGAGCAUUGUAGUCGCUUCUUCGGAUUGGAGAAUACUUUGAGAUGAAUCAUGCUGUUCAUCGCAUUUGGAGAGUGAGAAGCAGCAGGUGCUGCAGGCUUCAAACAGGCUGGGUUUUUGUACAUACGAAUUAAAUGGAUGGAAUAAAAUGAAAAAGAAUAUUAAGGAUGAAUAAAACCCUAGUGCACACCUGUUUGGAUGCACCAUGUGUAGGCAGUGAUUUUUCGUAAGACAAAAUCAUAAAGCGGUAAAGAAUAGGUAGUCAAAUUAAUUUAAAAUUUUAAAUAUUAGCUAAUUAAUUUCAAAUAAUCAAAGUUCGGAUUAAUUAUAUACAUUUUUAUACCCAAAAAUAAAACACACGCACAACAACAACAACAACAACAACAACAACAACAUCAUGAUCUCUGCAGAGAGGGGUCUUUCUUUCUCAUGAAGAACAGGGCAUCUUCCGCACCAAGAUCCGAAUUUGGUUUAUUAAGAGAGGAAAUUUUGGGUCUCAAUAGAUAAAACAAAAACUUGCUGCAUACAAUUGUGGAGCAAAGGAUUUUUUAAAAUAAAAAAAAGGAGACAAAGCCUUAAUUAGAAAGAGAUGUUUAUGUAUGAAUUAACGAGUGCAUUUACGUAUGGUAACUUGGUAACUGUUAUACUUUCCUACCUGUAUUGUUUGGAUUCAUUAGUGAUAUUUGCAAUUUGUUAUGGAUUGAUGCAUUUAGCAGUGCAAUGUGUAUAUAUGCUUCAAAAGCGAGGUGUUUCAUCAAAAAAUUAAUCGAAUGGUUUAAGCUAUAGGUUUUAUGCCAAAAUAUUCAAAUAAAUGGUUCAAGUUAAGGGUUUUUUUAAAAAAAACAUUUGAAGUAUUGGAUGGAUCUUUGCUUCAAUCUGAGCAGUUUUGGAGUUUUUUUUUGAGAAAAAGAUAGCACGCUACCAGCUUUAUUCAUUUAAGAGAUGAACUUAGCUACAUAGGUGAGGCAACAAGGUCUCUAGAGAGAUGAAAACCAGAAGUUAAAUGAAAAAAAAAAAAAAAAAAAAAAAAAAAACAACAACAACAACAACAAAGAAUUAGUGUCUCUCUACAGGGCGAAGUUUCUCCCAAAGGGACGUCAACUGUUUAACCUUAUAACAACCACGGAUUGGAUCAGUCUGAAUCCUCCUCUUAAAGAUCACACCAUUCCUGAUCUCCCAAAUGACCCACCAGCAGGUUAUUAGUCCAGAUAAACUAUCGCUCUUAGACUGUGACCUCUUCUUUCUACUCCAUAUGUCCCAAGCCAUAUACACAUCUUCACCCAAAUCUCCUACUUGGACAUCCUCUAAUGACAUCGCCAUAAGAAAUUUGAAGAAUACAUAUUAAGAAAAACGAUAAUCUACUGUUUCCACAUCAGUCCCACACAACACGCAAUUCGUGUUUCCUAUCCAUCCUCUUUUUAAUAAAUUAUCUGCAGUUUUGGAGUUAACAGCUUGUUUUGGAUACUCUCUAAUACUACUUUUCGAAAUAGAGUUGUUACAGUUGCUCCUCUUGCUGAUGUACUGGAAGAUGCUACUGGUGUCGACCAAUAGUAGCUAGGUUAAAAUUUGAAACUGUUUCAAUCUUAAAACUUGUAAAUAAUAGUGUUUAAGAUUGUUUUUGGUUUCAUGUCAGCAUCUAUUUUGACAAAGCUGACUCUGUUUCCGGCUGAAUUUGUUUUGAAAUUGCUUCAGUUCGCCAUUUCAAUAUAAGCAACUGCUAAACUUGCAAAGACUCGUAAAGAUGGUAACAACAGCUGAAGUUAUUCUGAAUAAUCGCAUUUUUACAGAAGCUGUAUUUAUUUCAAGCAAAACAGUUUUGACAGGGCUAAAUUGGUCUCAAGCAUUCCGUAUCUACAAAUGCAGAAUUAGAAUUGAAGCAAAGCCAAAAUGACAAAUAUUUUUUCCUUUUGACGUAGGAUUGUUGGGCAUACACUUCACAGUUAGAGAAAAAUUGCAUAAUAGUAAAGUCGCAAAAUCGUAAAGAGAAUCGGUUCACAAAUAGAAGAUAAUUUUAAUUAAUAGCAUUGAUGUCUAAAAAAAAAAUUUCUCCUUCAUAAAGUUUUGAGUCAUCAUCCUACUCGCUUUCUUCAUUAAUUACCAUCGCUGCCAUCAUCAACAUGCAUCUUUGAUGCAUCAGGAUUUACCUGAAGUGAGUGAGCAAAAAAAGUCCUCCUUUAAUUAAGGGACCUUGCAAAAAAAAAAAAGAAAAAAAAAAGGGGUCCCCCUCCUCCUCAAACAUCUUCAUCUUCAUUGCGUUUUUAUUCUUUUCCUCCUUUCCAAGCACGAGAGAGGGCAAAANAAAGAAAAAUGAUAGUAUAAAGAGGUGUAAAUUAAGAAAAUAAUUUUUUUUUACGGCAAUUAAGAAAAUCAAUGCUAAUUAAAAAAAGGCAAUUUCGAACUGUGGUGCAGUGCUGCAGUGGUUUUCGUACUUUUUUUUUUUCUUUUUUUUUGGGGCAAUCGAAAUUUAUACAUAUCUUGGGGUGAAAGCCGUUCCCAUAUUAUUCAAUCCGACCGGACUCUGAAGCCAAAGAUUGCCGGAUUUAAUCUGAAAUUUUACUAUCAAUUUCAAAAUCAAAUUCGGAUCUGGAAAUUAAAAUUUCUUGGGGUUCAACUUAAGAUUCACUAUUCCUUUUUGAAUCCGGAUUCAAAUUAUUCAAAUCCAAAACUUUUUAACAUGCUUUUUUAAUUUCUUAAAUAAUACCAUUUAAGCAUCUUUCAGAAAUCUCAAACAUCUCCAUUGCGUUUUUUCUUUCCCCCCUCCGUUAGAAGGAAGAGCAUCUAUGCGCAUUCAGUGUGAGAAAAAAAAAAAAUUGCUACCUUUUUCCUGUACAUAGGCUAUAGGCCUCGUUACCGUCACUCACCGUUCAAACCGUUAGAAGGAAGAGCAAAUAAUAAUAAUAAUAAUAAUAAUAAUAAUAGUAAUAAUAAGGGUCCCUCGUUUUCCGCCUCUUCAUUUGAAAAUUGAAAGUGGACACGGAAACAACAAGAUCCAAAGAGCAGAUUUGAAACUGAUAAUAUUUUUAUAAUCUGUGCAAUAGGAUAAAGCCGAUUGAGGGACUAACGUGCAAAAGGUCAACGAUUCCCAAGCGUAGUUACCAGAGAGCAGCAGCACGAUAAUUGGAGCAACCACCUAUCAUCCCCGUAUUCUCUGCAAGGACGUUUGUAUUGAGAAGAAGCACAAAUAUAGCUAGCUGCUUUGGUAAUAGCGAUGGCGGAGGGGAUCGCAUUCGAUUUGGUGAAGGGAGUGCUCGGCAAGCUGGGCUCCGCUCUCGGGGACGAAAUCGGGCUGCUGCGGAGCUUCAAGCACGACGCGGACGACCUCAGAAGCAACUUCUCGGCGAUCCAGGCGGUGCUUCUCGACGCCGAGGAGCGAAGCAGCAGCGCUGGGAAGGAGAGCCACGCUCUGCGCGACUGGCUGCGCAAACUGAAGGACGCCGCCUACGACGCCGACGGCCUGCUGGACGAGAUCCGGACGCAAGCGGCCCUCCGGCAACAGCAGCAUCCGGAGGUGCAGAAUCAAAACCAGCCAGCUGAAAAGGUACGUGAAUUCCUGUCCCACGCUAAUCCGAUGCGUCUGAAGUUUAAGGUCAAGAUGGCACACAGGAUGAAAGAGCUCAGAGAAAAGAUCGGUAAGAUUGCGAAACAGAGGCAUGAUUUUGGUCUUGCCGAAGCUGGCCCUGGCCGGCAGGCUGAGUUCAAGCACCGUGAGACAUUCUCGGCCGUCGACGAAAAGGAAAUAGUUGGGAGAGAUGAUGAUAAAGAGAAAAUUGUGAAGCUACUGCUAGAGACGGGCGGCGAUCACGACGUGUCGGUCAUUCCGAUCGUGGGAUUGGGGGGUUUGGGGAAGACGACGCUCGCUCAAAUGGCCUUCAACGACGGGCGGGUUACGGGCCAGCAGCGCUUUGAUCUACGCGUGUGGGUCUGCGUGUCUACCGAUUUCCACAUGAAGACGAUCGCAAGGUCGGUCAAAUCUGCAACCAAAGAGGAGUGUGAUCUUGACAGCUUGGAAUCCGUCGCGAGUUUUCUCCUCAGGAUCUUUAGCCAGAAGAGAUUCUUGCUGGUGUUGGAUGAUGUGUGGAACGAAGAUAAAGGGAAGUGGAAGGAAUUGAAGGUUGUAUUUAAGGACGGCAGGCAGGGAAGUAAAAUCUUAGUAACCACACGAAGCGAAAAGGUCGCCGCGAUAAUGAAAACAGUCGAACCACACCGUGUGAAAGGCUUAUCAGAUGAUGAUUGUUGGACAUUGUUCAAAAGGCUGGCAUUCGAUGAGGGGGAAGAGAACGACUAUCCGAGUUUGGUCGCAAUCGGAAAGCAGAUAGUAAAGAAGUGCGGCGGCGUGCCUUUAGCAGCGAAUGCUUUAGGAAGUAUGAUGUAUUCAAAGAACAGGACAGAGGAUGCAUGGUCCGCUAUUAGGGAUAACGAAAUUUGGAGUCUGCAAGAAGAGAAAACUAUUUUACCAUCAUUAAAGUUGAGCUACAUUCAGAUGCCGUCGGCUUUGAAGCAGUGCUUUGCUUACUGCUCCAUAUUCCCAAAAGACUACGAGAUUGACAAGGAUGACUUGAUCCGGCAAUGGAUUGCUUUAGGCUUCAUUUCAUCGCAUGAAACAUGGACUUCGAUGGAAGAUAUUGGGAAUGAGUACUUUAACGAUCUAUUAUGGAUGUCUUUCCUUCAGGAAGUGGAGGAGGACAAAGAAUAUAGAAAGGUUACCACCUGCCGGAUGCAUGAUUUAGUGCACGACCUCGCACAAUCUGUAGCAAGAGAAGAAGUUGCUGUUAUAGUUGGAGAAGAGUCAACAAGGAUCCCGGAAAGUUGCCGCUAUGUCUCGAUAUACAGUCGUUUCACGCCACAGGUUUCAAUUACCGUAAUGCGGAGGUUGCGAGCUCUUCAAUUUAGGGAAUCUGGCUCACUUAUUAUGGCUUUUUAUAGCGAGGCAAAAUGCUUACGCCUGUUGGAUUUACAUGGUUCCGAAAUUUCUAUGCUGCCAAGCUCAAUCGGUAAGUUGAAGCUCUUAAGAUACCUCAACCUUUCGUCAACCAAUGUACAAGAACUGCCUGAA